rnacentral:lncRNA from 1 species
GUAAUGGAAGGCCUAUCUUUCUUGUCUGUGAUCACCAGAUCGUGGGUAUGCUCGAAGGGGCUACUGUUAGCAUCUUGUUCCGGGACUGUUACUGUUGAUUACUGUGCUAGGCCUCUUCAGCAACAAGCUUUUGCUCAAGAUUAGUUGGUUCUAGCUUGUAUGUGACGGGUGUCUUUUUAACCCUCGUGUUCUCUUCUCCUAGCGUCAUAUUGUGGGUGGCCUGUUUGUCCUUGAAUCUGUACCAAGUUCAGUUAACAGAAUAAAAUUUAUAAUUGGUGGGUUACUGCUCAAUUUUUGGAUCUUGAUUAGUAGCUCUUCUGUUAGCACAAGUCUGUACUUCUUCCCAAAUUUCCAAUGUUCUUUGCUGUCAAGAAAUUGAUUCAGUGCUUCAGCUUAUGGUGAUGAACUGUACGUGUCUGUAUCCAAGUCACAAUCAUCUUUCAUGUCCCAAUCAGCAUACACUAUACUGGAAUUGUUGAUGCAGCAGCAUUACUUUGGUUUCUGAAAAACAGAAACAUCAUCCCUUGCAUUAAACUUCCAUCUGGCUCCUUCUCACUGAAUCUCUUGCUCUUGAAACUGGAUUUUCACAACAGAAAAAUAAAGCUCCUCCGAACUGUGACAGAUUUGGCAUCCGGGAAGCCGGUGAGCACCUGGUUUUUCUAUGCCUCUUUUCUAUAGCUAUUUGGCAGUAGUAUCAAUCUUUUCUGGGUUCUAAAACUGAAUUCUCAUGCUCAACAUAGGCUGUCUUGUGCUGAUCUCCAAUAGCCCCGAGUCUUACUACAUCUUACUACUAUCUCCAAUAGCUCUGAGUCUUCUACUGUGGACUGCUGAUCUCUAUCUACUCUGGUAUAUCCGUUUCGAAACAAAAUCUACUCCGGUAUACCUGGAAAACAAGGAAUGAGUGAAGUUUCAAGGCAGUAGAUAUUAUUAACAUCAAGCCAAUCUUACACCUAACAACUGCUGCUUAUACUUGCCUGUUCUGAUUUAGGUUCAGAUGGAAAUCUCAUACUACCUCCGUCUAGGUGAAUAAGUCAUUCGCGUAGUUUUAGGUCAUCGAUUUGAGGAAUUAAAUAUGUGCUAUAUGUCAUGAAAAGUAUAUCACUAGAUUUCUACAACGAUGUAGUUUCUAAAUAUAUAUUUUUUAUCACAUAUAAUAUAUAUUUAGAUAGUUAAAUCGUUAAUCUAGAACUACGCGAAUGACUUAUUCACCGAGACGGAGGUAGUACUACCUUGAGCAUGGUACCAGGAGACAGACAGGAGCAAAAGCCUGCUCAGCAAUGGGGACCAAGAAUUUGGAAGCACACGAAAGUGCUACAUUCUGCAGUACCUUCUGGGCCUGAACCUGCUCCCGCUCUGCGCUGCUGAGAUUCCAAGCCACAGCUCCCUGUUUCUCGAGCACCUCCAUUUUCCUGCUCCUCUGGAAACACGGCAAUCAUACAAGCAAUUACUAACUCUGAAGAUGUUGCCAUGUCAGGCACUGAACGGCUUCCUCAAAUAAGAGGGAAGUUUUACCCCCCGAGGCAUUGUUCACCCACCCGAACACUACUAAUCCCCCACUUAUCCCUUCCCCCACAAUCCUUGUAACUGUGUACCAUUCCGUUAAAUCCCAUCCCCAAGUCCAAGAAACAAGUAACAGCACAUCCACACAUGAAAUUUACUGUAUGUGCUAGUGCCAUACACAAAGCAAAGGAGAGUUCAGUAUGGUUUCGCGACAGGAAUAGCGUUGCAUCUUCGGCAUACUUUUGAGCAGCUAAUUAUUCACUUGAGACAAAUAAACUUCGAGGGGGUGGUCCACGUUGGCGACUCUCCGCCGGUUGCCGCCGCUGUCUUCCCCCUGCCGCUCCUCACGCCUCAUGCGGAGAUGCGGCCGCAUCUGCGCGGAUCUCGCCUCGCUCUGGCGUCGGCUCCUCCGCCGGUCGCAAGUCGCCGGCCUCCGGCAUUGUCGCGCCGCACGGCUGCCGCCUGCCGGGAACUCGUACGCUUGGCAGCGAAUCUGAUAAGUCCCGUCUCAACUUUUGUUUGCUCUCUACAGAUUCGAAGCCCAUCUAAUCCCAACUUUGUUGAAUUGUUUUGACUGCUUAGCAUCUGCAAUCUCGCUGUCUUCCCUUCUUUUAGUGCGUAUGGUUGCAACGAAAGAUCCACCAUAUAAUCACCAAGAAACGACAGGGCUGAAUACUUCGUUUGGAGCAUAUAGCAUAUUGUAGCAGCAACUGUGUGAUGUGAUGAUACUAAAUUAAGUAGCCCAUCUAGUUGCAGAAUUAACUACUAAUUGAUUUGGACCAGGCUAAUUAAAGAUAAACAAGCUAGGAAUGGAGAAGCCUGACUUUUUCUCAUUGGGGGGAGACGACUCUCUACAUAGCUGUAGAACUAGUGAAGAGUAUUCCCGUGUCGACCUGGGCAGGGCAGCCAUCAUACACCUCGCAUCCAACUUGUGAGCAGUAAGUGGAAGAGAGAGAGCUUGCACCCAGUGGUGCUGAUGGCGUCGAGGAGCAGCACCGACGACACGAAGGAAAAUGCCGUGCAAGUGUCGGUGGAUGCCAAACUGACGGUGGCCGCAGGCCGUGGCAACUGUCAGCAGUUGAAGGAUCUGCUGAGCACGGAGGAUUCGAAGACAAUGCUGGUUGUGAUGGCCCCAAGCAUCCAGGCUUCCACGGUGAAGUCUCUCCCAGAGGUCAUGAGCCCCCUUCUGCUAUCAUCGGCUUGCUCUGGCGCCUGGCAAGACUUGGAAUUUCUUCUCAACAGGGGACACGGUCAGCCGCAUCCUUCCAUGAAUUCUAGUACAAAAUUUCAUGACCUUCUCACGGCAUAUGGCUCCCACAGCUGCGGCGACAAAGGCGCAUCGAUGCAGAAAGCUUCUGAUGAUGUUGAAGCACUUCUGAACCUGCCUUCAGGUUCUACCGUGUCACUUCUGGACGGGGUCACCAUUGAAGGGGGCACUGCACUCCAUGUGGUGGCCACAUAUGGCGAGAGUGAUGGAUUCUUGAGGAGUGCUGACAUCAUCCAUAGUAAGGCAAGCCAUCUCCUGUUUGUGCGUAACAAGAAUGGUGACACGCCCCUGCACUGUGCUGCACGGGCCGGGAUGUCCCGAAUGGUCCGUCAUCUCAUCACUCUGGCCAGAGGCGAGAAUACAGGUGUUAACAGAGUGAAGGAACUCCUAGAAAUUGAAAACAGCCUUAAGGAGACAGCAUUGCAUCAAGCAGUCCGUAUUGGAAAUAAUGACAUAGUCAAGCUGCUAAUGGAGGAAAACUCGGAGUUGGCCAGUUUUCCGAAAGACGGCACUUCACCUCUGUACCUGGCCAUCUUGCUGGAAGAGGACAUCAUUGUUGAGACACUUUAUAAUGCGAGUCACAUGAAACUUUCCUACUCUGGGAAAAAUGGACAGAAUGCGCUGCAUGCUGCGGUUCUCCGAGGCACAGGUACCAGACAUCAUUCCGUCCCAUGUAAUAAAUCUAGAUUAAGCUACAAUUUUCUGCACAUAUUUUCCAUGUUUUUCAGCAUGGUUUCGCAUCUUAUACCUCCUAGUUGGAUUUGUACAUGUGUAGUUUUUCCCAGUAAAAUUUCUUUAAAUUUAUCUGAAGCAUCAAGCAUUGAGCAACAUCUAGCAUAUGCCUUUUAGUUUCAGCUAACCAGUUCUGUUCCAGUGUGUAUGGGAAAGUUUGAUCUACAAUCCCCUGAGAUAACAAAUGCUGCUCAAAAUGGUCUUUAAGUAUUCUAUACCAUUAUAUGACUUGAAAACUUUCACUAGUGCAUUCCACCUAGCCAUAACUUUUUUUAUAACAUUCUCUCUGAAAGAGUACAGCACAUCAUUUCUUCAUGAGAAACAGUGAGUAAUUCUCAAUUAAUGAAUAAAAUUCACGAACGAUGAUAGGGGCCUCAAACUUCAUAGUAGAUAAGAGUAAAUGGCUUAUUACUCGAUGUUUUUGUAUGCUGUGCUAGUUGGGAAGUAGUCUGGCCUUGUAAGAAUUACUGAACAAUGCAGUAUGUAGUUACCCAAGUGUAAGUUCAAGUUCCUCUGCUAGGCAGCCUGUGCUGCAAAUAUAGUUCCGCUCCCAAUGUAUUCUAUAAUCCUCCCUUUCAAAUAAUACAAUCCAUUUCUCAUGACUUAUAUUUAACUCCUCAGAUAAACCAGCACCAGUUUGCAGAAAAGGUGAAACUAUAAUUUAGUACUUUGGCUAGUGCAGUUAGCAGAAGGAGAUUUACAGGAAGUACGAACACAUGUAAUUAGUUGAGUAGUUGAGUAAUGAUAGUAGUAUUGUUUCAUUCCCACAAAUAAAUUAGGAUAUACUCCGUAGUAUAAACUACUAAACAGAAAUACGGACACCUGUAAGUUUUACAGACACAUGUAAUUAGUAUAUGAGUUUAUGAGUAGAUUUACAAGGAAGUACGGACACAUGUAGUUGAGUAGUGAUAGUACGGAUUUAUGAGUUUAUGAGUAUAUGAAUUUAUGAGUAGAUUUACAUUAACUGCGGACACAUGUAAUUAGUUGAGUAGUUGAGUAGUGAUAGUAGUAUAAACUAUAAUUUAAGUACCCAUGGAUCGCGCACAAGAUACGAUAUACACACAAUGAAAUUGCCUUCUGAAAGACUAUUGAGACUUUUGAUAUUUGUAUUUUGCUUGCCAAUUAUAAUUGAGUGUGUCAUUUCCAUAGUAGUUGGUCUUCUCCCCUUGAUGAACUUAAUAGAAAUACCUGUUUGCAGAGCUUACAAAAAAGCUCUUGGAAUGGAACAGUGAUCUCACUAUACAAAGGGAUGAAAACGGGAGUACGCCUCUCCAUUUUGCUGCAGCUCUGGCACAGCAAAGUCAGCGAGGAAGUAUAUGUUGGCAAGUAUUGGAAGCGAACUCAGCUGCAUUGUAUCAGUCAGAUUGCAACGGAUUAUUUCCAAUACACGUUGCUGCCUCUGUUGGUGAAAGUGGGACAGUAACUAUGUUCCUUAACAAGUCUCCGAGCAGUGCUGGUUUGCAGGACAGUAUGGGAAGGACAUUCCUUCAUGUAGCUGCUGAGAAAAGGAAAGUUAGAAUAGUCAGUUCUGCUUGCAGAAAUCAAUCACUCUUAUGGAUUCUUAAUAUCCAAGACAAUGAUGGGAACACUGCACUACACCUAGCUAUCCAGGCACGGAGUCUUCGAAUGUUUUGUGCUUUGUUAGGGAAUCGACAAACACAUUUGAAUUUAUCAAAUAAUAUGGGGCAAACUCCUCUAGAUAUAUCACCAUAUGGGGUUCCCCCAGGAUUUUUUGAUGAACAGGUAAUGUACUAAAUUGUACUUUUAAGCACCACGUUUGAUAUGAAAGCAAAUAAUGGAGAUUUGUGUGGUUUGGCUUCACCUUCUUUUCUUUUUCAUUUUUUCAGAACAGUGAAGCGAAGAUACACUUUGCACUGACAGUUGUUAAUGCUAGGAGUGGUGGCAGUCGUCGUGAUCACUUUGAAGAAAACUACACUCGUCAGUUAAAAUAUGAUGAAACGGAACAAUUAGAAAAGUUGAAAGAACCAACACAAACACUAUGUAUUGGUGUGGCUCUAGUUGCAACUGCGACGUUUACUGUUACUUUUGCCCUUCCUGGAGGUUACAGAGCUGAUGAACAUAUUAAUGGAGGAACACCAACACUUGCCGGGAGGUAUGCAUUUGAUGCAUUCAUAAUAGCCAGCACAUUCUCCUUCGUCUUGUCUGUGAUGGCUAUGAUAGGUCUCAUGUAUUCUGGAUACUCUAUUUUAAACCCACAGACUCGUAGAAUUUACUUGAUCGCAGCCUUGUAUUUUGGGUCAACAUCGGGCACAUGCUUCCUAGCAACUUUUGCAUUAGGUUUGUACAUGGUGCUAGCACGGGUUGCUCACAAGUCCGCCAUUGCUAUCUGCGUCAUUAGCCCUCUUGCUGUUAUAUGCAAACAAAUGGACCUUUGGUUAAAGUGGGCUCUUCUGGCACAACCAUUAUGUACCCGAAUUGGGCUAACUCGUACACUGGUAAUGGUGACAACGAGAAUCCUUUUCAGCAUGUUGAUGGAAUUUUGGCCCAUAAUAUUCAUUUUUGUUUGGGCCACAUAUACAAGCAACCAGUUUUAGAAAUGGAGCAUAUGCAACUACCAGCACUCAUGACUUGAAGAUGCAUCAAACACAGAACUUUUUCGGUGAGAUGUUUUCAUGGACGUCCCGGGGAUUUGGGAUUCAGGAUUUAUUGUAGUCGUCAGUCUAUUUUUCUCUUCGGAAUAUUUCGUAUGUUUGAAUAAUGUUAUGUUGUGAUGUACCGUUUUGUUCAACAAUUUGCGCUCAUAAUCAUGUAAAUGCUGAUUACCUCUGCUAUUUAUAACUUCUUUGAAUUAUGCAACUGGUUUCAAUUUUCCAUGUAUCACUUGUAUUUCAGUAUGUAAAAUGGUUAAUGUAGGAUAGCAAAUCCACGAGCAAAUAAAUCUUUCAACCUAUCUAACAGUUUAUAUUAUAUAAUGUUACUAGUGCCUUGAUACUUGCCUCUGGUGUUAGUACUCUGCUUUGCUACCUUAAUGAUUUGCUGUUGGAUUUGGGUAACUGUUUGCCCUCACAUAUGAAGUUUCAUCAGAAUGUCCAAUGUUGUCAAUCCGACUUAUAUGUAGAACAUAAUUUACACAAUCCCGCUUUAAUAUUGUACUAGAAUGUUUAUUGACUAUAACAAUAAGAUAGUGGGUAAUUAACAUGCUUAAGUUGAGUCAGGAUAGGAUUUUUGGUGAAUGUUGUAAUUGCAAGUUAUGCUAUUUUGCAAAAUAAAAUAAAAAAGUGCAAGUUAUACUGCCCUCUUAAAAAGUCAGGAUAGGACUUGUCAAUUCUUCCGGCUUUAAACACUGAACUAGCCAAGGUUUAACACAUCACACCAUCUACUAAUCUCUUUAUGCGCUGGAAGGGUGAAAAAGGCCCCUGCUACCUGCUCAAGCUGCUGUCCCUUAGCUUUGCUUUCUUGCUCUGGUAGUUUGUCUUUUGGAGAUUGAUAGGAUCUGCAGAGUUUAGCUGUUCGUAAUGCAGACUAUUCUCGAGCGCGAUGGCGCUAGAUGCCCCUUCCUACACGUGGUAUUUCGUUUCUUUUGCUGAAACUCUUUUAUAGUUUGUCUUGAAACUCUUUCAUAGUUUGUCUAGGGACGGAUGCUUGGGGGGUAAACCCCUUCUUUAAUAAAAAAAAACUAAUCUCUUUAUGCCACACUUGUCAAUUCUUCCGGCUUUAAUCAACAAACUAGCCAAGGUUUAACACUAUCUACUAAUCUCUUUUUUUUUGUGUGUGUGUUAUGAGCAGUAAAACUUCCACAGAAAUCUCAAUCAGCAAAGUUUUCAGUAGGAUCUUACUGGAACUAAAUUGGUUUGACACUUUGACCAGACUUACAUUUGCUAAAACCAGUGCUUCAAACACAUGACACUUUGACCAGACUUACAGGAUAAUGCUUGCGAUUGCACACAUCUGCAGUUGGUGUUACGUUUCCGCCGGCCGGUGACUCAUUUCGCAAAAAUAAAAGAAAGAAAGAUAACAUGAUCCAAGCAAACACCGGUACAACGCCGGCUACUUAAAUCGAUCGAAACUUCAGGAUUUACAUCAACACUGACAUCCAUCCAAGAGCAUCAACCACACCUAAAAACCUGCGUCGGGAAUUCAGAGACUGCAAACGAUGGCACAAUCCAUCAGACUUCAGACUCCCGCUGCCAAAAUCACCACCGCCACCAGCUUAAUCGACCUCCUCGAUCUUGGGCCCCGCACCGCUUCCGCCGGCCGGCGCAUCCUCAUCCAUGCCGCCCAUGUCCGGGCCAGCGCCCUGGUACAUCUUGGCGAUGAUGGGGUUGCAGACGCCCUCCAGCUCCUUCAUCUUGUCCUCCAACUCGUCCGCCUCCGCCAGCUGGUUGGCGUCGAGCCAGCCGAUGGCGCCGUCGAUCGCCUCCUCGAUCCUCUUCUUGUCGUCGGCGGGGAGCUUGGACGCGAUCUUGUCGUCCCUGACGGUGUUCCUCAUGUUGUAGGCGUAGUUCUCCAGCGCGUUCUUGGCCUCCACCUUCUUCUUCAGCUCCUCGUCCUCGGCCUUGUACCGCUCCGCCUCCUGCACCAUCUUCUCGAUGUCCUCCUUGCUCAGCCGCCCCUUGUCGUUGGUGAUGGUGAUCCUGUUCUUCACGCCGGCCGUCUUGUCCUCAGCGGAGACGUUGAGGAUGCCGUUGGCGUCGAUGUCGAAGCAGACGGUGAUCUGGGGCACGCCGCGGGGCGCCGGGGGGGAUGCCGGACAGCUCGAACUUGCCCAGCAGGUUGUUGUCCUUGGUCCGCGCGCGCUCGCCCUCGAACACCUGGAUCAGCACGCCCGGCUGGUUGUCCGAGUAGGUGGAGAAGACCUGCUCCUUCUUGGUCGGGAUGGUGGUGUUCCGCGGGAUGAGCGUCGUCAUCACGCCGCCGGCGGUCUCCAGGCCGAGGGACAGCGGCGUGACGUCCAGCAGGAGCAGGUCCUGCACCUUCUCGUUGCCCUCGCCGCUGAGGAUGGCGGCCUGCACGGCGGCGCCGUACGCCACGGCCUCGUCCGGGUUGAUGCUCUUGCACAGCUCCUUGCCGUUGAACAAGUCCUGCAGCAGCUGCUGCACCUUGGGGAUGCGGGUGGAGCCGCCGACGAGCACGACGUCGUGCACGGCGCUCUUGUCCAUCUUGGCGUCGCGCAGGCACUUCUCCACGGGCUCCAUGCACUUGCGGAACAGGUCCAUGUUGAGCUCCUCGAACCGGGCCCUGGUGAUGGUCGAGUAGAAGUCCACGCCCUCGUACAGGGAGUCGAUCUCGAUGGUGGUCUGGGCGGUGGACGACAGGGUGCGCUUGGCGCGCUCGCAGGCCGUGCGCAGCCGGCGCAGCGCGCGAGGGUUGCCGCUCAUGUCCUUCUUGUGCUUGCGCUUGAACUCCUGGACGAAGUGGUUCACCAUGCGGUUGUCGAAGUCCUCACCGCCCAGGUGGGUGUCGCCGGCGGUGGCCUUCACCUCGAAGAUGCCCUCCUCGAUGGUGAGCAGCGACACGUCGAAGGUGCCGCCGCCGAGGUCGAAGAUGAGCACGUUCUUCUCGCCGGAGCUGCUGGCCUUCUUGUCCAGGCCGUAGGCGAUGGCGGCGGCAGUGGGCUCGUUGAUGAUGCGCAUCACGUUGAGGCCGGCGAUGACCCCGGCGUCCUUGGUGGCCUGCCGCUGCGAGUCGUUGAAGUAGGCCGGCACCGUGACGACGGCGUUCUUGAUGGUGGUGCCGAGGUAGGCCUCGCCGAUCUCCUUCAUCUUGAUGAGCACCAUCGAGGAGAUCUCCUCGGCCGCGAACUGCUUCUCCUCGCCCUUGUACUGGACGACGAUCAUGGGCUUGUCAGCAGGGCCCGGGAUGACCUUGAAUGGCCACAGCUUCAUGUCGCUCUGCACGGACGGGUCCGAGAACCGCCUGCCGAUCAACCGCUUGGCAUCUGCGGUAGAGAUAUAACAAUACUGUGAGUCAAACUGUUUGAUUUGCGCUCAAGUUAAUCAAACUUAUUUGGGGUACAGAAAGCAAAUAAGCAGAGCAACAGUAGAGCUAUGACAAGUUCCAAACAGGAAACUGAAAUUUAAAAAAAUCUUGCUGGAAAACAGUUCAACAGAAACAGCCAAACCAACAAGUUAUCUUCACAUGAACAGGUUUCAACAUAUAGAAAUCUUAAUCAGCAAAGUUUUUAACAGAAUCUUACUGGAACUAAGGGGACUUUUAACUAUGACCAGAUUACUGCAUAUAUUUUCGUCAGUUCCUCAAAUACAGGGCAAUGCAGAAUAUGACAAUGCCAGCAAUCUCUGCUACUCGUUAAGCCCAGCAAACAAAUUGAUUUACUAGCGUCCAACGAGGAAUUGGAUCAAAGCAAAAUCACAUAAAAAACGCAUACGCGGACAUAAUCAUAACCGAGCGCACGAACACGAGAUGAUGUAUGUAAGCUAGAACCUAGAAGAGGCGCGGUGCAGGGGGACGUACCGAAGACGGUGUUGGUGGGGUUCAUGGCGACCUGGUUCUUGGCGGCGUCGCCGAUGAGGCGCUCGGUGUCGGUGAAGCUGACGUAGGAGGGCGUGGUGCGGUUGCCCUGGUCAUUGGCGAUGAUCUCCACCCGGUCGUGCUGCCACACGCCCACGCACGAGUAGGUGGUGCCCAGGUCGAUGCCGAUCGCCGGGCCCUCUCCUCCAUCUCCUCUCCUCCUCCUCCUUAAGCUCUCGAACGGGGGAAAAACGGGAACCCGAACACGAAAUCGGAGCUGAGAAAUCGAGAUCUGAGAGAAAUCGCUUGAUUGAUUGCUUGCUGCGAGUUGGGAAUCGCGAUGGAACUGAUGGGGAGGGGUUUUAUUUGGGAUGCUGCGAUUUUUCGAUAAUGUUCGGGGAGGGGCGCGCUCGGUUCUGGAAGCCGCUCGGGUGGUUCGGUAUGACGGUUGGCGUUGUAGAGGAGGAAGGCGCGGGCCGGCGAGACCAGCCUUUGACCCUGUCUCGUAGCUUCUACAGCGAACGGCUAUGUUCCGGCGGCUGGGCUUUCUUGGUGGGCUGGGUUUGUACUGUCAACUCUCGUACUACAUGCAUGUCUCAUUUUUCACUGAAGGGUGUUUUUCUCCUUUUGGGUAAAAAUGUACGGCCCAUUACUGUAGACCAGCCAUACAUUCGCCACAACGAUAUUCUUCACUAUUUGUAUUCUAGCCAUAGUUUAAAAAACCGGACAGAACCGGCGGUCGAACCGGAAAAAAGGGAACCGGCGGCCUCAGCGGCUUUCUAAGCUAAUAAGACCGUUCUGCAAUCAGACUAGAGAAAACCGGUUGAACCGGCUGGUUUUCUAGAAAACCGGUGAAAAAACCGGGCCAUUGAACCACAAAAAACCAGGAAAAUGUUUUAAUAGAAAUUGGGAAAGUGAGAUUCAAUCCCAUGUCGUGUGAGCAGUACGCGGGGCCUGCCCACGGCCCAAUAACCAACUCGGAUGUGCCACUUUGUUGUUCACUACAUGGAAAUAAUUUUAUUUGACCAUUGUUUCACACUAUAUUAGCGCAUAUGUUACUCAACAUGUAUUAUUUUAUUGCUUGAAAAAGCCGACAAUCGAAUCGGUGAACCAGCGGUCCGAUCGGUAAAAAGUUGAACCGACAACCUUUCCGGUUCGAUUUCCGGUCGGGUUUUUAAACUAUGAUUCUAGCAAGCAUUCCUACCCUUUGAUACUAUUGCAUUUGCUUGAGUUUGCUACUUCCGUUGUUGCUACUGCUGUUACUACUGUUGUUACUCUGCUACUAUUGCUAUCAUUGUUAUGAUAUUACUGUGCUACUAAUAAAUUUUCGUAUCAGCCAAGUAGUUGGUUUGUUUUUCUCUUUGUUGCCCUGAAGAACCGUCUCCUAUGAAGUGGGUUUGGUUGUAUUAUUUUGUAGUAUUGGUGUUAGCUGGUUUUAGCCCUGGAACCGGAGUUUCAAAGCGAGCUCCAAGUGGCAGGUUUCCAGCUAGUGCCCCACCUCGCUUUCUCCCCUCUACCUUAUUCUCCUACUCAUGGUGUAGUCGCUGCUUUAGGUUAUGGUGACAGACUUUGUAUUUCCAUUAAGAAAUUAAUGGAAAGGGGGAAAUGCCCGGUUGGAAAAAAAAUUGGUGCAAGGAAGUGAUUCUCGGGUGUGGUUAAAUUGAUAAGUCAACUGGUAAGGCUUAUAAAUAUUAUCCGGCUUCCUUUGUGUCGAAUCAAUAUAUUUGGGUGAAAUACUAACUCUCAAAGACUGUUGUGAUCCUCUAUACUUCUGGGUCAAUGGGAGCAUGGUAGCAUGCACCAUUGAGGGUUGAGAUGCACAUGCAUGUUUAGAGCCAGGCCGAAGGGUGAGUAGUCAUGCACAUGCCAUGUGAAGCGUGAACCGCCAACGAGGUAUUUUGGCACUUGGUAAAGUGUUCAAGACAUAUGUGCCUAUGGAAAACAUAGUGAUAACCCAUAAGUAUAGAGGAUCGCAACAGUUUUCGAGGGUAGAGUAUUCAACCCAAAUAUAUAGAUUCGACACAAGAGGAGCCAAAAAAUAUUGCUAGUAUUAGCGACUGAGUUGUCAAUUCAACCACACCUAGAGAUUAAUUAUCUGCAACAAUAUGAUUAGUAGCACGGUAAUAUGAUAGUUUUGAUAGAAGUGUAACAAUAACGAUAACAGUAACAGUGAUAGCAUGAUUUUGUAGCAGUUGUGACAGCAGUCAUAACAAUAGUAACUUAGUAGAAACAAUAUGUGGAAAAUUCGUAGGCAUUGGAUCGGUGAAUUCAUUGGAUGAUAUUCAUCAUAUAGCAAUCAUAAUCUAGGGCGAUACAACACUAGCUCCAGUCCAUAAAUACAAUGUACACAUGUAUUCCGUAAAUAUUCAUACAUGCUUAUGGAAAGAAUUUGCAUGACAUCUUUUGUCCUAGCCUCCUGUGGCAGCGGGGUCCAUAAGGAAACUAAGAGAUAUUAAGGCCUCCUUUUAAUAGAGAACCGGAACAAAGCAUUAGCACAUAGUGAAUACAUGAACUCCUCAAACUACGGUCAUCACCGGAAAGUAUCCUGAAUACUGUCACUCCGGGGUUUACGGAUCAUAACACGUAAUAGCUGACUAUAACUUGCAAGAUCAGAUCUAGAACAUAGAUAUGAUAACAUAAACGGUUCAGAUAUGAAAUCAUGGCACCCGGGCCCAAAGUGAUAAGCAUUAAGGGCUCAUUUGAUUCAAAGGAAUUCUUUAGGAUUUUUGGAGGAUUGAAAUCCUUAGGAAUUUUUCCUAUGUCGGCCCUUUGAUUCAUAGGAUUGGAUCCCAUAGAAAAUCUAACAUCCACUCCAACCUCUUUUUACAAUUCCUUUGUUUUUCAUGUGGCAUCAAACACUCUUUGCUAAUGCUAUAGGAUUCAAGUUGACAUGCCACUGCAAUCCUAUACUUUUUCUAUUCCUACAUUUUCAAAAUCCUGUGAUUCAAAGAGGCCCUAAGCAUGGCAAAGUCAUAGCAACAUCAAUCUCAGAACAUAAUGGUUGGAUACUAGGGAUCAAGCCCUAACAAAACUAACUCGAUUACAUGAUGAAUAUCAUCCAACUCUUUCACCGACCAGCGAGCCUACAAAGGAAUUACUCACUCCCGGUGGGGAGCAUCAUGGAAUUGGCGAUGGAGAAGGGUUGGUGAUGACGAAGAUCGAUGACCCCCCCUCUCCGGAGCCUCGAACGGACUCUAGAUCUGGCGUCCCGAUGAAGAACAUGAGGUGGCGGUGGCCCCGUCUCAUGAAACGCGAUAAUUCUUUCUCCCUGAUUUUUUAUCUCCGAAAAUAGGAUUUUAUAGCAUUGGAGAUAAGGUCAGUGGGGCCACCAGGUGAGCACAACCCACCUAGGCGCCAGGAGGGGGCCUGGUGGGUUGUGCUCACCCAGGGCCCCCCCGGUGGUACUUGGCUCCAGUAAUUUUCUUUUGUUGCAUAAAAAAUCUCCAAAAAGUUUUGUUCCAUUCCGAGAACUUUUAUUUCUGCACAAAAACAAUACCAUGGUAGUUCUGCUGAAAACACUGUCAGUCCGGGUUAAUUUCAUUCAAACCAUGUAAAUUAAAGUCCAAAACAAGAGGAAAAACGUUAGAAAAAGUAGAUAUGACAGAGACGUAUCACAGAGCAGAUGUGACCUCAUGGAACACCGAUGUAAAGGUGGAUGUGAGCUUGGAUAGGACGUCGACGUCCGAGGUGAAGGAAAUAUGCCCUAGAGGCAAUAAUAAAGUUAUUAUUUAUUUCCUUAUAAUCAUGAUAAAUGUUUAUUAUUCAUGCUAGAAUUGUAUUUACCGGAAACAUAAUACAUGUGUGAAUACAUAGACAAACUAAGUGUCACUAGUAUGCCUCUACUUGACUAGCUCGUUAAUCAAAGAUGGUUAUGUUUCCUAACCAUGAACAAUGAGUUGUUAUUUGAUUAACGAGGUCACAUCAUUAGUAGAAUGAUCUGAUUGACAUGACCCAUUCCAUUAGCUUAGCACCCGAUCGUUUAGUAUGUUGCUAUUGCUUUCUUCAUGACUUAUACAUGUUCCUAUGACUAUGAGAUUAUGCAACUCCCGUUUACCGGAGGAACACUUUGGGUACUACCAAACGUCACAACGUAACUGGGUGAUUAUAAAGGAGUACUACAGGUGUCUCCAAUGGUCGAUGUUGGGUUGGCGUAUUUCGAGAUUAGGAUUUGUCACUCCGAUUGUCGGAGAGGUAUCUCUGGGCCCUCUCGGUAAUACACAUCACAUAAGCCUUGCAAGCAUUACAACUAAUAUGUUAGUUGUGAGAUGAUGUACUACGGAACGAGUAAAGAGACUUGCCGGUAACGAGAUUGAACUAGGUAUUGGAUACCGACGAUCGAAUCUCGGGCAAGUAACAUACCGAUGACAAAGGGAACAACGUAUGUUGUUAUGCGGUCUGACCGAUAAAGAUCUUCGUAGAAUAUGUAGGAGCCAAUAUGGGCAUCCAGGUCCCGCUAUUGGUUAUUGACCAGAGACGUGUCUCGGUCAUGUCUACAUUGUUCUCGAACCCGUAGGGUCCGCACGCUUAAGGUUACGAUGACAGUUAUAUUAUGAGUUUAUGCAUUUUGAUGUACCGAAGGUUGUUCGGAGUCCCGGAUGUGAUCACGGACAUGACGAGGAGUCUCGAAAUGGUCGAGACAUAAAGAUUGAUAUAUUGGAAGUCUAUGUUUGGACAUCGGAAGUGUUCCGGGUGAAAUCGGGAUUUUACCGGGUUACCGGAAGGUUACCGGAACCCCCCGGGAACCAUAUGGGCCAUCAUGGGCCUUAGUGGAAAGGAGAAAGGGGCAGCCCAAGGGGGCUGCGCGCCUCCCCCCUUCCCCUAGUCCUAUUAGGACUAGGAGAGGUGGCCGGCCACCCCUCUCCCUCUUUCCCCCUUGGGAAUCCUAGUUGGAAUAGGAUUGGGGGGGGGGGGGAGUCCUACUCCCGGUAGGAGUAGGACUCCUCCUGCGCCUCUCCCCCUUGGCCGGCGCACCCUCCCCCCUUGGCUCCUUUAUAUACGGAGGCAGGGGCACCUCUAAACACACAAGUUGACACAAGUUGAUCCACGUGAUCGAUCCCUUAGCCGUGUGCGGUGCCCCCUGCCACCAUAUUCCUCAAUAAUACUGUAGCGGAGUUUAGGCGAAGCCCUGCUGCUGUAGUUCAUCAAGAUCGUCACCACGCCGUCAUGCUGACGGAACUCUUCCCCGACACUUUGCUGGAUCGGAGUCCGGGGAUCGUCAUCGAGCUGAACGUGUGCUCGAACUCGGAGGUGCUGUAGUUUCGGUGCUUGAUCGGUUGGAUCGUGAAGACGUACGACUGCUUCCUCUACGUCGUGUCAUCGCUUCCGCAGUCGGUCUGCGUUGGGUACGUAGACAACACUCUCCCCUCGUUGCUAUGCAUCACAUGAUCUUGCGUGUGCGUAGAAUUUUUUUUAAAAUUACUACGAAACCCAACACGAGGUAGGGGCCAGAAAUCAAUAGCCUUGGCAGUUCUGUGUCCUUGUGGUUUAUGUAGAAACGCUAAGAGCACCAUGGAAGUGUUAGUGUUCUUAUGUUAUCAACGACCUAAAACCUUUAGAUUUUUAGGCCCAAUCGAAGUGCGAUCUUUAGCUCACUACAUGUCUAGUCUACAAUGUUUACACAUGAUACAUUUAUGUGUUUCACACUUUGUGAACUUAAACCAUUGUCGAGAAAUAGGCCUCCAUUUCUCAAAAGAAAAUCAAAGGCAAUACUCUUAAUUUCACAAUUGAGUUGCUUGGAUUGGUUCUAAAUCUUUUCUGGCCAUCAAAAAUUUUCUAAAGUGAGAGCUAAGUACCGAAGGCCACAGAAAAAAUUACAACAAUUCCAAAAGGAGAAAAUAUGCAUUCCUAUGAAAAAUGGUGAUAUGCAAACCUUGGCCAGUGUUCCACGCAUAUGUGUACGCAAGCCGAACAAUCUAGGUCAAUGAAUCAAAGGAUGAAACAAGCAAAAUCUUAGAUAGGCUAUGCUCCUUGCAAUUAUUUUCUAACUCGAUUACUCAAAUGAAAUUAACAACUAGUUUGUGAUACAUGGUACAAGUUGAUAAAAGAGGUACGUUCCGCCUUCCAAUUAAAUGAGUAAAUGACCAUCAUACUAAAAAUGUUUUGAUAAUGCAAAAAAUACAUCCACUCAAUAUGCGUGGUCAUGAGACUGGGAGAUGUCCUAAAUGGUUAGAUAAAUUUUGAAAAGUUGAUCAAACCAGCAAUCAUACAUAAUCUUCUGUUGGCUUCGAAGAAGAAGUAAAAAUAGUACGUAGUGGGGCAUAGCCAUUAGGAUUAUUUGAGCUCGAUCUCCUACUCCAAAGGGAACAACCACUAGGUGGACGACAACCUUGAACUAGUGCUCUUGAUCGACGUGGCGCGUAUUCUUGCGUUGCGCCAAGGUAGGGUGUUGUAGGGACAUAUUUAGGGUCAAGGGCAGUAGGAGCAAGCAUUAGGCACCCCGUAUCUAAUGAUGGCAGGAGGGGAAUGGAUAGGGCAUGGUUGUUGAGUGCUUACGUUGAACGGAGGUGUAGUCAAGUAUGUGGAUGCUAGUGGUUGUGGUGAGACAUCACCAUUGGUUGUGUCUCUUCUAGUAGGUUGCAUUCGCCGCGGCCUAUGCAUGUAGCAUGGCUGGUGCCUCUAAAUCACUCCAAGAAAAAGGAACAUGGAUUCAAUGUAAAACAUCUUAGUGUUAACACAUCUUUAGGCUAUGUUUGGUUGGGGGUAUUUGGUGUGUGCUUCCCCAUGGUUUAGCUCAAGGUGAGCAUACCUACCGAGAAGCAUGCAAAAAUUAUACUCAAUCCAAGGACAACUAGAUUGUACAUCUAAAAGUUAGAGCACUAUAAAGGUUAAACAUAAGUUUUUUGCAAAAAUACGCUAAGAGAGAUGCCAAGCUAUAUAGAGCGUGAAAAAUGUUAGCAGUUACCGAUUUAUGCACAAGCGGUAAGCGGUCCCUAAUGUUGUCAUUGUAGUCUGCUGAAACCAUUGUUACCACACCAUAGGUGUAUUUCAUCAUUACAUACUCGCAUGGAAGACUCCUCUUCAAGAGGCCUAUGUUGUUAUAUGCUCCAUCUACAACACUAGGAGUCUUUGUGGUAAGAGCUCUCUGAAAGUAGGGAUGAGAAUGGAACAAAAACGGUUGAAAAUGAGUAUUCCAUAUCUUUUUACAUAUUUUUUAGCAGCAAUAAAAAUGAAUCAGAAAUCUCAGAAAUGAGUAUGAAAGAGGAUACUUGAAAAAAGAAUACAAUACCAAUAUAGGACAAACUAAAAGACAAAGUGAAAGUUAACAGGAACUCGAAACUUCCUAAACCAUCAAGAAAAAUACAACCAAACCAGGAAAUUCAAUUGCUAAUUUAACUAGAGAUAUUAUCAUUGAUAUAUAUUAAUGUAUAGUAUUGUGCAUAAGUUUCGAAAUUUUGCAACGUAAGGUAUAUUUACCAUAAAUAUUAUGCGAAUAGGAAAAGGAUUAUCUUACUUGGUGACAUGAUUGAGUUGAGCCAAAAGUUUUUAUAGAUUGGGGGUGGAGUGGGCUAUACAAAAAAAAAUCUUCAUGUACAUAUAUGGAAAUUUCGUUCCUGCUAGCAUUCCACCAGAAAAUGUUGUUUCGUUUCUAUUUCCAUUUCCAUGAUAAAUUUUCCACUUCCAUUCCAUAAAAUUUUGUUCUGUUUCCAUAACUUAUCUACAUUUCCACAUAUUUUUUGAAAGGACGACAAGUUUUUGCUCUGUUUUCAUCUCUAUAAGGAACUGUCACUGGUCUUAUAUUAUUGACAACCUAAAACCUUUGGUAUAUUAGGCACAAACGGAGCGCGGGCUUGAGCUCAAUACUUGUUUAGUCUACAAAGUUUACAUUAGAUAUAUUUGUGUGUUCCACACUUCGUGAACUUGAACAACUAAUUCGAUGAUACUCCUCUUUUCAGCUAAAAAGGCAGUACUCCUCUUUUUCUCAAAAGAAAAGAAAAUGAUAUACUACCCUAUGUUACUCUAAGUGUUUGUUUGGGUCGGUUAUAAUUUGUGUGUGCCCAUGGGUAUUUUUAGCUCAAGUGAGAACACACUAUCGAUAGCCACACAAACAUUACAUCCAUUUCAAAUAGGACAAUUAAAGAAAACAAAAAACCAGAUAUUCCAAUAAAAAGGGGUGAUACCCAAAAUCUUUUGGGAACCUUGGUAACUGUUUCACGCCCAUCUCUAGGUUAAAACUAAAAUGAAACAUGCACCUUGCAAUGAAAAAAUCAACUAGAUUAAUUCAAUCAAAUUUAACAACAUGUUUCUGAUAACCGCCUCAAGUUUGUGAAGAAAUACAUUUUCUGCCUAGUUGAUGAAUUAAACCAACAAUGCUAAUAAAUAUCCCCAAAAGGGCAAUUGGUACAUCCACCCAAUCGCAUGGUCAUGAGAUCGAGAGAUACCCUAGAUGAUUUGGACAAGGUUCUUGUUGAGCAUAUCAACAUUCAUGUGGCUUGUUCAGUGGCCUUCACCAAAGAAGUCAUAGAACGAUCUCGAGCCAUCUCCGCUGGGGACCUCCGAGCUCUCAGCCUCCAAAGAGAACGACCUUGAGGUGGAUGGCCUUGGGGAGCCGGCGCUCUCAGUGUGGAGGGUCCUCUCGCGAUUUGCGAAGGUGGGGUAUUGUGGGAACAGAUUCAGAAGCACGGGACGACGGGAGUAGGCCUCAGGAGCCCCGUAGCUGUUGUUGGUCGAAGGAAACUGGACCGCACGCGGUUGUUGAGUGUUGGAGUUGUUUGAAGCUGUUGUCUGGAAGUACAUGGCGGCUUGUGCCUGUGCCUGGAUGUUGCCAUGCGCCAUCGUCUCUAAAUUUGAGUGCAUUAGCGAUGGCUGCAUCUGCGAGUAGUAGGCUGCAUUCACCGAGGCUUGUGCCGCUUGCCCUGUCAUGUAACAUGGCUGCUGCAUGUACAUCCCUGCAAGAAAAAGAAACAUGGAUCCAAUGGAAAACACAUUAGUACAACCAUAACUUUAGGGCAUAUUUUGGAUUAAGGGUAUCCUUUGUGUGCUUUCCGGUAGUUUGCUCAAGGUUAGGCAAAAUAACAGAAGCAGAAUCACAUAGAAUUACGCUCAAUGCAAACAUAGCCAUAUCCAACACCUCCUCGAUUUCUGUUGAUAACGAACAAAGUUGGCAUCGAUGAAACACAAUGAAAUGGGCGAAUCAGAAGGAAUAUAAAUUAAUUCAAUUCAUUUUAAUCAAGUUGAAAAAAUGGUAAAUACACACUACUCGUUGCUGGAUCGGCUGACACGCAUCAUGCCAUUUUGGGGCCCACAAAAUUGCUUUCGUCUUCCUACAUUAUGGGAUGGCAGCCCGAGGCAUUUUUUGGAGGUCUGACCACUUCAGAGUAGUUAGGAACAAGACAGUUCAGGUGAGUUCAGUGGCCGGAAACUCCUAAACUCUCUCGCUCGCUACUGGCGGCCAACUGCUUUGGUAUCAUCAGGAGUUAAGAAAACAGUUUUGCUAAAUCCAAGUCUCAGUCGAUGUUAUAUUCGUGAGAUCUUGUAUUAAGAUACGUGUAAAUUUUUCUUUUCAGAUGUUUCUUUUUUUUUUUCUUACAUGUGCAUGCGCGCACAUCGUGAGCAAGAGGAACAGCACAAAACACACCACACAUGGUACAACUACCGUGCGGACGCAUGAAAGCCGCGGGGGUUGCAAAUGGAAAGUCGUAGAUGCAUACCCUUUCCAACGAAACCCCAAUCGUAAAGCCAGCCAAGAAACGCACAGACGCAUUCGGGAGCUAAUCAAUCAAGACGUGCAUGCCAAUUGCCAAAAGCGGAUUUAAUUAAAUGGCGUGCUGAGCGCAUAAAUGGAGAGGGUUUAUGCGCGGACGUACCUUCUCUGUUGCAUGCAGGAGUGUUCGGCGCUGGCGGCGCCUGCAGCUGGACCGGGGAGAAGGAGUUGCCGGGGGUCCUGCGGAGCGUGGGCAGCGGCUGGGGACGGCGGAUCUGCCUGGCGAAGUAGUCAGAUCUCUGCUGCUGCUGCUGCUUCUGCUUCUGGCGCAGCCGGUUUUGGAACCAAUAGAAGACGUUCUUGCCCUCGAUGGGGCCGUGCUCCUGCAGCCUCGCCGUCACCUGAUGUAUCUCCUCGGCGGUGGGGGUGCGCAUCCCCUGGCGGUACAGCCCCUCCAACACCGCGAUCUGCUCCCUGGUAGGGACCCAGCGCGCGUUCGCCAGCGCCGCCACCGCCGCGGAGUUGGGGGAUAUCGGUGGGGAGAGCGGCGCCGACGUAGGGGGAGGGGAAAGGGAGAGGCCGGUGGCGGCUUCGUCGUGGUGCUCGACGCUUUCCAUGGCUAGCUAGGGGAGUAGGGGUUUUCUUUGCGCUUGGGUUUUGCAUUUGUGUGCGCUUGCGAUCGGGCAGGUUGUUGGGGGUAUUUAAAGGCCCGUGGGAGGGUGAGGAGGACUGGGGGAGAGAGGCCAGCCGCUGUCGCCGCGUGGUCAAAAGCUGUGGAUGGGCCCAUGGGGCGAGCAGAGGCGCGACAGGGUGGCGAGACUCGUGUGCCGGCUAUUUGCCGUGUACCGCGUGUGUGAUCACGAUAAAACACUACACAUGUAGUAACAUACGGGCUGGUACCUAUACCGAAAUAACUUUGUUCCAAGUAUAGCAUGUAAACGCGCGUUGUUAUGCUUCCUCUGGAUCUAUUCGGUCAUUUAGUAAUUCACGCGGUCAAUGGUUUUCAUUUUUCUCCCCCAAAAGCGCAAUCAUAUUUCUCGUUUCUUGGAACAGAUAGAAAUACGCGUGAGUUUGCGUGUUUCAGAAGAAAAAAUGUGAGUGAAAAAUGAAGAUAUUAGUUGUUACUCGUGUCCUGGUCAAUACACAGUUGUAUCGUACACCAGGGUAUACCAUACCGGCGGUGUUCUCCGAUACCAUUUGACUGAAAAAUAACUUCCACACAAGUGUAGCAUGUAAACUUUGUACGUCCAGUUGUGUUUCCCUCUAGAUCUAUUAGUUCAGACACUCUAGAAAAUCAGUCGGUUAAGCGGUUUCUGUUUUCAUUUUCUCCCCUAAAAGCACAAAAUGCUUCUCGUUUAUUGUAUCUGUGAAAUACACAUGAGUUUGUUUGUGUGUUUCAUAAAAAAAUAAAAAAGACCCAAAUUAGUAGCUGGUACCUAUACCGACCCCGUGCAGACACAGUUGUAUGUAGACUACAAUACACCGACGAUGUUUCUGGUACCAUAUGACUCGACAAUAACUUGGUUCCAAGUAUAGCAUGUAAACAGUGCACGGCCAGCUGUGCUCUUUAUCGAUCCAUUGACAGCUCAAGCGGUUUCUGUUUCUUGCUAAAAACAAAAUCAAAUUAAUCGCAUUCCUUUUUCUUCGGAAAUAAAACCUUACCAUUGUUACCAUGUCCAUUUUCAAAAGCUAAACAUAAAUUGCAUUAAUAGCAAAUCCUGGGUAUAUGGGCUAGGCCCAUAAAUCAUAUAAUUUCUAAAAUAAAUCAUAGAGACCCAAUUGGCCCAUUCAUGGGUGACAUGAGGUGUGAAAAUUUAGUCCCACACCCUUAGUGGAGGGUGAGUUAGACCAAUAUAUAAGGUUUCAUCUUCUAUACAUCACUAGAAACUUGAGAAGGGGGCACAUACACACGCUCCACCUCUGACGCUGGUCUUGCCUCAUGCAAACAUGUGUGUCAUGUUUUGUGAACGAGUCGAGCCAUACUAGGACCUAUGGACGUUUAUCCUUUUUAGCAUGAUAAAAGUUGGUAUGGAGGAAACUUAGUGAUCAUCGUUUAAAUUCUAUAUUAGGAUCGUUAGGGUCCUAGACAAAUACAAACCACACAUAAUUGCAUGUUACAUUCUAGAGCUUGCACUGCCUCUAGAUCAUUCACAUCCCGCUUCUCGACAUGCACAAUGAGAAAGAGCAGACCUCUGGAACCGUCUCCCUCGAGAGCAUCCAUGGGAGAGGGAUGGUAACGUCCUUUGUGGGGUGUUCACGUGGUUGUGCAAUGACACUUCUUCAUCAUAUGUUUCAUACGUAUUCGUAUCCCUAUUGCCAGGGUCGCUUUUAGUGUCUUACUAAUGUCAAUAGAGAUGGACGUGCUAUAUUUUCCUUAUCCAAUUUGCAUGCCCAGUUUAUACGCACUACUUAUGGUCCAAUUAUCAAGUCUAGUAUGUUUGCCGUGUUUUAUCUGAUGCUUUUCUUGAUUAAAAUUAAUAGAAAUUGCUCUUAUAUUCCAAUAAAAACGAUGAAACUAUGUCCUUCCAUAGAUUUUUGUGCAAUGCCAUAUGUGAAAGUGCAACUAAUCCCCGGGUGGUUUUGAUAAUUAAUAACACCAUAUAAGCCAUUCAUCUAAUGCUCAUUGAUAAUAGAUUUUAGAGAAGAUCAAUGAGUGGCAUGGCAAGGACUAGUAAUUGUGAACCCCUCAAAAUGCUAAGGACAAGAAUUGGAAAAGCUACAAAACUCUUCAUUUUUGGUUAAGUGAUCCAAGAUCACAUUGAGUCCAUAGGAAAGCCAAUACUAUCUAAAGGGGAUGAGGUUUUGAUCAUGACUCAAUUGCUCAAGUGCUUAGUGAUAUUGCUCCAAAAAUCCUUAAACACUUCUCUACAUCAUAUUUGUCCAAAACCCUAAAGUAUCAUCUCGGUCCCACCAAAAUUUCCUACCCCGGACUCAUCGAUCACACACACUGCCUAAGCCAAAACCUAGCAUUUCAGUUCCACUGAUAUGGAUCUCGGUCUCACCGAGAUGGUGUGGCCAAGUUUCUAUGAUGAAGUUGCUUCAUUUCGGAAUUACCGAAAUGAAAUGAUCGAAACUACCUAAACGAGGUCUUGCCCUAGCCAUUGCACUUCGGUCGCUCCGAGAUAUUCUACUUCGGUCUCACCGAGACUUCCCACAUUCGAAUAUUUUGCACUAGCUGUUCUCAUUGAGAUUUUGGACUGGUGUCAUCGAGUUGGGUCAAAGGCUUGUAAUAGUUGGAUUUUUGGGUGAAGGCUAUAUAUACCCCUCAACCCCCACUUACUCUCUAAGAGAGCCAUCAGAACGAAACACUACUUCCACUCUCAUUUUUUGAGAGAGAACCACCUACUCAUGUGUUGAGAUCAAGAUAUUCCAAUCCUACCAUUUGAACUUUGAUUUCUAGCCUUUCCCAAGUUUCUUUCCAUUCAAUCCCCUCUCCUACCAAAGCCAAAUCUGUUUAAGAGUGAUUGAGUGUCGGGGAGACCAUCAUUUGAAGCACAAGAGCAAGGACUUCAUCAUCAAUAACACCAUCUAUUACCUUUUGGAGAGUGGUGUCUCCUAGAUUGGUUAGGUGUCACUUGGGAGCCUCCAAGAGAUUGUGGAGUUGAACUGAGGAGUUUGUGAUGGCAAGGAGAUCGCCUACUUCAUGAAGAUCUACCCAAGUGAGGCUAGUCCUUCGUGGGCGUAAGACAUGAUGGGAUAGACAAGGUUGCUUCUUUGUGGACACUUCAUGGAUGGAGCCCUCUGUGGACUCGCGCAACCGUUACCCCCCGGUGGGUUGAAGUCUCCCUCAAUGUGGAUGUAUGAUAGCACCAUCUAUCGGAACCACAGCAAAAAUCAUGGUGUCUUCAUUGCAUUUUAUUUCUCCGAUCCUGAUACGUCUCCAACGUAUCUAUAAUUUAUGAAGUAUUCAUGCUGUUAUAUUAUCAUUCUUGGAUGUUUUACAAUCAUUUUAUAGCAACUUUAUAUCAUUUUUGGGGACUACCCUAUUGAUCCAGUGCUCAGUGCCAGUUGUUGUUUUUUGCUUGUUUUUUACAUCGUAGAAAAUCAAUAUCAAACGGAGUCCAAACACCGUGAAACUUUUUGUGGAUUUUUUUGGACUAGAAGACAUCCAGUGGGCCAGAGAAGCACCUGGGGGUGCCCCGAGGGGGGCACAACCCACCAGGGCGUGCCUGGGCCCCCAGGCGUGCCCAGGUGGGUUGUGCCCACCUCGGUGGCCUCACGCACCACCUCUUUGCCCUAUAAAUUCCCAAAUAUUCCAAAAACCCUUGGGGAGAACCCGAGGUCAGAAGUUCUACCGCCGCAAGGCUCUGUAGCCACGAGAAACCAAUCUAGACCGCGUUCCGGCACCCUGUUAGAGGGGGGAAUCAUCACCAGCGGCCAUCUACAUCAUCCCGGCGGCCACCACGAUGAGGAGGGAGUAGUCCACCCUCGGAGCUAAGGGUUUGUACUAGUAGCUAUGUGUUUAAUCUCUCUCUCUCUCUCUCUCGUGUUCUUGAGAUGUCACGAUCUUGAUGUAUCGUGGGCUUUGUUAAUAUAGUCAGAUCAUAUGGUGUUUUCCCCUCUCUAUCUUGUUGUGAAUUGAGUUUUCCCUUUGAGAUUUCAUUUUAUCGGAUUGAAUACUUUUAUGGAUUUGUGAACACUUGAUGUAUGUCUUGCUAUGAAUACUCGUGGUGACAAUGGGGUAUCAUAUUGAUUCACUUGAUAUAUAUUUUGGCACUCAACUCGCGGAUUCCCGAGGUGACAUUGGGGUAAUCUAUGCAUAGGGGUUGAUGCACGUUCUUGUCUUUGUUUCUCUGGUAGAAAUCUUGGGGCACACUUUGAGGUUUUUUGUGUUGGAUUGAGUAUUAUAAAUCUGAAAUUAUUUGGUGUUAUUUUAGUAUGAACUCUUGGAUAGAUCGAUCGGAAAGAAUAGCUUUGAGGUGGUUUCAUACCCUACAAAUGAUUUCUUCUUAUGUUCUCUGCUAGAUAGGAACUUUGGAGUGAUUCUUCAUCGCACGUCGAGGGAUGAUUAUAUGAUCCAAUUAUAUUAGCAUUGUUGAGAGAUUUCACUAGUGAAAGUACAGAUCCUAUGCCUCAUUUUCAAGCAUUGCAAUACCGUUUGUGCUCCAUUUUAUCAAUUACUACCUUGCUAUUUUUUAUUGUUCUUAUUACAAAAAUCAAUAUCUACUAUCCAUAUUACACUUCUAUCACCAUCUCUUCGUCGAACUAGUGCACCUAUACAAAUUACCAUUGUAUUUGGUGUGUUGGAGACACAAGAGACUUUUUAUUAUUUGGUUGUAGGGUCGUUUGAGAGAGACUAUCUUCAUCCUACGCCUCCCACGGAUUGAUAAACCUUAGGUCAUCCACUUGAGGGAAAAUUGCUACUGUCCUACAAAACUCUACGCUUGGAGGUCCAGCACGUGUCUACAAGAAUAAAGUUGCGCAGUAAACAUCGGAUCCCUCCUUUUACGUUCACAUGCAAAGUCUUCACUUUCCGCUGCUCAACUCUUAGACUUGCAUGUGUAUGGUGUACUUGAAUUGGUAGAAUUGCUAAAACUUGCCUACAACUAAAAUUGGGAAAAUGAUCAUUUUUAUUUGGUAAGUAGUCUAAUCACCCCCACCUCUAGACAUACUUUGAUCUUACAAGUGGUAUCAGAGCUUUGGUCUCCAUUGCAUUGGUUUCACAACCUAGGAGAGUAUGUCAUCUAGUAAGGGAAACUAUCACCGCAAGGUCCAUAUUUCGAUGGUACAAACUUUGCUAGUUGAAAACAUAAGAUGAAAAAUGCAUAUUCUUAGUCAUAAACCUGCUUUUGGGCUGUUGUUUGUGUUGGCUUGCAAGGUGAAUUCUUUGAGGAUGGUAAAGAACCAGAUUGUGAAGCAAUCACAGAAGAAUUGAAGAUGUUACAAUACAACACUCAAGCAUGUGACAUUCUCUUCAAUGGUUUGUGCCCUAAGGAGUUCAACAAGAUUAGCCACCUCGAGAAUGCAAAGGAAAUUUGGGAUACUUUUGUUGAUAUACACGAGGGUACUGAGUCCACUAAGGAAUCCAAGUUGGAUGUGCUUCAAAGUUAACUUGACAAGUUCAAUAUGAAGGAUGGUGAAGGAGUCGCCAAAAUGUACUCUAGGCUUGCUCUCAUCACAAAUGAGAUUGCUGGGUUAGGAAGUCAAGACAUGACCAACAAGUUCAUCAUCAAGAAGAUCCUUAGAGCCUUGUGAUGGUGUCCUGGACUAGGGGGUAUCAACUUAGUUGACCCAUAGUCCAUGGGCCAACCUUAUGACCCACCGUUCUCAUAAAGGAAGGACUCCGGUAGCUUGGCACUUUGGUGUAAUCAAGGGGGACUUUGCCGAAGACUUGUUGUGUACUCCAAGUAUUACUUCGGCUACCGCUAUGUACGCUUAGGAGGCAACCGACCAUGUGUAACCCUAGACACCCCCGGUGCCUAUAUAAACUGGAGGGUUUAGCCCGUAGGAGGGCAUGCAUUCUUCAUCAUCAUCAUUAGCCUUAGGGUUUAGUCCACAACUUACGGUCUCUAGGUAUAUCAACUCUAUACUUUGAUAGACCCAAACUAUAAGCAAGAGAAGGACGUAGGGUUUUACCUUCUCAAGAGGGCCCAAACCCGGGUAAAUGUUGUGUCUUCUGUCUCCUGUUACCCAUCGAUCCGAUCUCACAGCACGGGCCACCUACCCGAGAUCUCCAGUUUUGACACCGACACUGGUGCUUUGAUUUAGAGAUCGAUGUUUGAUCACUUUGGAACGAUGGCUUCACACUCCUUUGACGAGUUUGGCCCCUCGGAGCCACCUGCACGUCGACAAUCCCCUCUGACGGGACGCCUGAGGGCUUGACAUAUCUCAAACCGCACUCCCCCCUCGAGGUAUUGGGGUGCGAUCGAGAACUCUGUCUGGAGCUUCGCACUCCUUUGAUGAGUUCGGCCCACAAAAUCUGAUUCGAGGAAGCCUCAGAUCUGGGCUCCCGUUUGAGGGACAAGCGUGAAAUCAAUCAACUAGAAGAGGAGGGAGCAUCGGAUGUUAAGCCGAGCUCGGACACCUGCUUUUGCAAACAUGGGGGAACCUCAGAUUCUCCCUCGACCAGGUUGAAUUUUUUAUCCCACCCACCCUCAUGUCGAGUAUUGCCCAAGUAAUUCAGGGCCUCCCGAUGUAUGGGACCUAAUCUAUGUAAAACAACAAGCCGACGAGACACUCCGAUAAUUCUGGUCGAGAUUCUUGUUCGUCAAGAACAAAAUAAAUCGACCGCGCAUGUGAUCAUGAUAAGACACUACACAUGUAGUAACAUACAUGCUGGUACCUAUACCGGAAAUAACUCUGUACCAAGUAUAGCAUGUAAACGCGCAUGGUCAGUUAUGCUUCCUCUGGAUCUAUUCGACCAUUUAGUAAUUCACGCGGUCAACAGUUUUCAUUUUCUCUCCCCCAAAAUCGCAAUCAUGCAUAUUUCUGAGUUAUUGGAUCUAGAUAUAAAUACGCGUGAGUUUUGUGUUUCAGAAGGAAAAAUGUAAAUGAACAUAUUUGUUGUUACCCAUGUCUUGGUCGAUCACGUGCAUACACAGUUGUACGUACGCCAGGAUACACCAUACCGGUAGUGUUCUUGGUUACGGAGGACUAAGGAAAUGUUUCUCGGUUAAGCUUUAACACUGAUCCAGAUGACUCUGAGUCUCAAUUUGGAUACGUACUGAACGAGGGAACAGUUAGCUAGAACAGAUCUAUGCAGAGCAUUGUAGACACAGACAUUUGCAAAGUACGCACAGAUCUGAAUGUUGCAGACCCGUUGACUAAAACCUCUCUCAAACGCAAAACAUGAUCACACUCUAGUAAAAUCUUUGGGUGUUAAUCACAUGGUAAUGUGAACUAGAUUAUUGACUCUAGUAAACUCUUUGGGUGUUAGUCACGUGGCGAUGUGAACUAUGGGUGUUAAUCACAUGACAAUGUGAACUAGAUUAUUGACUCUAGUGCAAGUGGGAGACUGACGGAAAUAUGCCCUAAAGGCAAUAAUAAAAUGGUUAUUAUUAUAUUUCCUUAAUCCUGAACAAGGUUUAUUAUUCAUGCUAGAAUUGUAUUGACCGGAAACUUAAAUACACGUAUGGAUACAUAAACAAAUAUCGUGUCCCUAGUGAGCCUCUACUAGACCAGCUCGUUGAUCAAAGAUGGUUAAGGUUUCCUAACCAUAGACAUGAGUUGUCAUUUGAUAACGGGAUCACAUCAUUAGGAGAAUGAUGUGAUGGAAAAGACCCAUCCGUUAGUUUAGCAUAUGAUCGUUCAGUUUAUUGCUACUACUUUCUUAAUGUCAAAUACAUGUUCCAUCGACCAUGAGAUCAUGCAACUCCUGGAUACCGGAGGAAUACCUUGUGUGCUAUCAAAUGUCACAACAUAACUGGGUGAUCAUCAAGAUGCUCUACAGGUAUCUCCAAAGGUGUCUGUUGAGUUGGCGUGAAUCGAGAUUGGGAUUUUUCACUCCAUGUAUCGGAGAGGUAUCUCUGGGCCCUCACGGUAAUACACAUCACAAGAAGCUUGCAAGCAAAGUGACUAAGGAGUUAGUUACAAGAUGAUGUAUCGUAGAACAAGUAAAGAGACUUGCCGGUAACGAGAUUGAACUAGGUAUGAAGAUACCGAUAAUCGAAUCUCGAGCAAGUAACAUACCGAUAGACAAAGGGAAUUACAUAUGUUGUCAUAAGGUUUGACCGAUAAAGAUCUUCUUAGAAUAUGUAGGAACCAAUAUGGGCAUCCAGGUUCCGGUAUUGGUUAUUGUCCAGAGAGGCAUCUCGGUCAUGUCUACAUCAUUCUCGAACCCGUAGGGUCCGCACGCUUAACGUUCGUUGACGAUAGUAUUAUAUGAGUUAUGCGAUCUGGGGACCGAAUGUUGUUUGGAGUCCCAGAUGAGAUCACAGACAUAACGAGGAGCUCCAGAAUGGUCCGAAGGUAAAAAUUGAUAAGGUAUUCCUCCGGUAUCCAGGAGUUACGAUGCUAUUUGGACACCGGAAAGGUUUCAGAGUGUAUCGGGUAGUCAUCGAAUCACCGGAAGGAGUUCCGGGAAGCCCCGGGUGGUUAAUGGGCCUUAUGGGCCAAGAGGGGGGAACACACCAGCCCAGAAGGGGCUGGCGCGCCCCUUCCCUUGGCCGUCGGCCCUAGGGAUGGAAAGAGGGGAGGGCUAGCUCCUCCUUCCUUCCCUCCACCUAGGAGAAAGGAAGGGGGGGGGGCACCUCCUCCUGCCUUCCCCCACCGGGCAUACAAGGAAGGGGGCGCGCCACCUCCUCCUGCCUUCCCCCCGCAGGCUUACAAGGAAGGGGGAGGGGGCGCUAGAGGGCAAGAGCCCAAGGGGGUCGGCCGACCACCCUUGGGGUGCCUCCUAGCUACCUCCCCUCCCCCACUAUAUAUAUCCCAGCUAUUCUGCAACCCAUUCCUAAAUAAGCUAUUCAGGAACCGUUCCUAACUGCUCGACAACAGAUAAGCUAACUGUGUGUCAUAUACUUGUUAACUGCCAGGCGGACUUUUUCUGGCACUAUUUUUCCGCACUAUUUUUUAUCGUAAUUUUUGAACCGUUUAUCGGAAUGAUGCGUACCGUUGGAUAGCUACUGAAUAGGCGAAACUUUUGUAUGUUGAUUGUUUCCCAAAAUCCUUAUAGUUUUUAAACAAAAUUCAAAAAACUAGAAAUUCUUCAAACGCGUUUUCGGUGUUUUUGUGAAAGAAAUUUUCAAACCGUUUGUCGGAAUGAUACAUAUGAUACACCAUUGGAAAGCUAUGGAUUAGCCCAAACUUUGGUAUAUAGAACUCGUUUUCAGAUUCGCCAUGAUUUAAGAGUAGUUUUCAAAAAACUAACGAAAUUUUUGUCAUUUUUUCCCGAACUGCUAUAGUACAUGCUAACUGCCCGACCAGAAUAGCUAACUGACAAUGACGGCCAAGCUAACUCGCGUGACAUAAGACACUUUUUUUUGUUUUUUCCCUUGUUUUUCCCAGAUCAAGCUAACUGCCGGUAUUGAAAUAGCUAACUGUCGGGGAUUGCGGCAGUUAACAACAAGUUAAUUGCAGGACUGAAGGUACUAAUUUUUUUAUUUUCCCUAGGUCAUUCCAACUGUGGGGCCUGAAAUAGCUAACUGCCAGGACUACGACAGUUAAGAACUAGUGAACUGCUGAAGAUAUCAACUUUUUUUCUUUCAUUCUUUUUUUGCCAAGGUCAUGCUAACUGCUCGAGUGUGCAUGGCAGUUAAGUGUUCAAUUUAAAUUCCAGAACUUGCCCACUUAACUUCCAUAUGCAAUAAAAAAAUGGACUAGCCGUAUAAAAAAACUUUGUUAUAAUGUUAUAGUUUUGAAACACUUAACUGUUGCACUUCGUGCACUUAAGUGACAAGUCACUAAAAACUAACUUCCCUAUUUACUUAAGUAGCUUUUUCACCUUUUUAAUAGUUAACUGCUACAGUAUCAUGGAUAGUCAACUGCUAAUCUAAGCACAAGUCAACUGCUACAGUUUUAGUUCACUAACUGCGUUGGAGGAGAGCACUGGUGGAUCAGACGAGCUGCGUUGGAGUAGAUCUGGCCAUGCUUGCCAUGAAUCAGCUCACCCCGGCCGAUGGCAGAGGAAGAGAUGGGUGGAGUAGAGGAGGUGAUGGAGUUUCCAGGUGGGAGAGACGGCGCUGAGUCCCUGGCGACGAUGGCUGCCAGUGCACCACCCCGCACCACCCCGGCCCACCUCGUUGGUGUGCUGCCACCAGGAACCUCGUGUGCACCACCCAAUAGGCCCCCUCCCACGCACCUAUCUGGUAACUGCUACAACAGCCAUGCGUAACCGUGACCAACACCUACAUGAGGAAAGGAGGGGAACAACAGGUGCUUUUUCUCAUUGGGCGAUGAAGAGGCACUGCCCACUGGAGAUGUGACCGUGGCCGUCAACUAGAAAGGGGGAGGUGUGCCGUAGGGCGCAGUGCCUCAGCUGGAUCCUGCGAGCUUCCGCUGGAUCCAAUCGAUGGCUGGGACCUUCGAAUCCCAUGGAUGGCUGCCCGAUGAGGAAGUACGUGAGGAGAGGGAAGGCACGGGGCGCCCAGCGAGGCCUGUUGCCGGAAUCCAUGGCACCCACCUCCUGGGCCAUUGGGAAGACUGAGGAUGGCAGGAGUGCCAAGGCGAGCAGUGGGGUCGAUUUGCUCAGGGAGGAUUUGUGGCUGCCUUGCUCGCCGGGGUAGCAGUGCUCGAGGUGGCCAAAUACCACGACCGUCGGGUUGGGCGAUGGUGCAGGGCUAUGGUGGUAGGCGGCGGGGUGAGAGGAUGGGUGGUGGCGCACCUAGCAUGCAGAGGGAAGAGAGAGUGGUGGCGAGGAAGGAGAUGGGUGGCGAUGGUGGUGGAUUUGGGGAUUUGGUUUUCUUUUCCAGCACUUUUUAUCCAGCAGGCGACCGUGGUUGGUCGCGAGCGAGCCGGCCGGGUUAGGUGGCAACGCGCGGCGGAGGGUUUGGGCCAUAGCAUGCAGACCCGAGCUCGCUCGCUCCCUUCGGGAAAAGAAAUAGGUUAGGAGCGGUGGUUCCUAACUAAGCUUAUUUAGGAACUCUAGAGGGGGGUUUCUAAAUAGUUCCACCCUAUAUAUAUAUAUAUAUAUAUAUAUAUAUAUGAGGGAGGGGGCGCCACACAAGACGACGACAAUGUCUUAGCCGUGUGCGACGCCGCUCUCCACAGUUUAGUCCUCCGUCUAGUUUCUUCGCAGUGCUCGGCGAAGCCCUGCGAGAACGAGUUCACCAUCACCGUCACCACACCGUCGUGCUGCCGGAACUCAUCUACUACUUCACCCAUCUUGCUAGAUCAAGAAGGCGAGGACGUCAUCAAGCUGAACGUGUGUUGAACAUGAAGGUGUCGUACGUUUGGUACUUGAUCAAUUGGAUCGCGAAGAAGUUCAACUACAUCAACCGCGUUAAAAAACGCUUUCGCUUUACGGUCUACGAGGGUACAUAGACAUUCUCUCCCCUCUCGUUGCUAUGCAUGUCCAUGGAUAUAUCUUGCGUGUGUGUAGAUCUUUUAUUGUUUUUCAUGCAACGUUCCCCAACAUAAACGUCAUAUGGCAAGUUGUGCUCUGUGUCUAGAUCUAUUAAUAUGACAGUCUACACUCGGUCAAGCGGUUUAUGUUUUUAUUUUCUCCCCUAAAAGCACAAACAUGUUUCUCAUUUCUUGUAUCUGUGAAAUACGCAUGAGUUUGUUUGUGUGUUUCAUUAAAAAAUUGAAGAAAACCCAAAUUAGUAUCUCGUAGCUAUACUGACCCCGUGCAGAUACAGUUGUAUGUAACUACAAUACAGCGACAAUGUUUCUGGUACCAUAUGACUCGACAAUAACUUGGUUGCAAGUAUUGUUGGGGAACGCAGUAUUUCAAAAAAAUUCUACGAUCACGCAAGAUCUAUCUAGGAGAUGCAUAGCAAAGAGAGGGGAGAGUGUAUCUACAUAACCUCAUAGACUGAAAGCAGAAGCGUUUAGUAAUGUCGUUGAUGUAGUCGAACGUCUUCACGAUCCAACCGAUCAAGUAUCGAACGCAUGGCACCUCUGCUAUCUGCACAUGUUCAGCUCGGUGACGUCCCUCGUACUCUUGAUCCAGCUAAGGCCGAGGGUGAGUUCCAUCAGCAUGACGGCGUGUCGACGGUGAUGAUGAAGUUACCGACGCAGGGCUUCGCCUAAGCACUACGACAAUAUGACCGAGGUGUAAAACUAUGGAGGGGGCACCGCACAUGGCUAAAGAUCAACUUGUAUGUCUAUGGGGUGCCCCCUCCCCCGUAUAUAAAGGAGGGGAGGAGGAGGAGGGACGGCCACAAGGGGUGCACCCAAGGGGGGGAAUCCUACUCCUAGUAGGAGUAGGUUUCCCCCUUUCCUAGUCCUAGUAGGAGAAGAAGGAAGGAGANNNNNNNNNNNNNNNNNNNNNNNNNNNNNNNNNNNNNNNNNNNNNNNNNNNNNNNNNNNNNNNNNNNNNNNNNNNNNNNNNNNNNNNNNNNNNNNNNNNNNNNNNNNNNNNNNNNNNNNNNNNNNNNNNNNNNNNNNNNNNNNNNNNNNNNNNNNNNNNNNNNNNNNNNNNNNNNNNNNNNNNNNNNNNNNNNNNNNNNNNNNNNNNNNNNNNNNNNNNNNNNNNNNNNNNNNNNNNNNNNNNNNNNNNNNNNNNNNNNNNNNNNNNNNNNNNNNNNNNNNNNNNCCCCCGGUACUCCGAAACUUAUCCGAAUCGACCCGAACCAUUCCGGUGUCCGAAUGUAGCCUUCCAAUAUAUGAAUAUAUAUGUCUCGACCAUUUCGAGACUCCUCGUCAUGUCCAUGAUCUCAUCCAGUACACUGAACAACCUUCGGUACAUCAAAUCACAUAAAUCAUAAUGCAUAUCGUCAUCAAACGUUAAGCGUGCGGACCCUACGGGUUCGAGAACUAUGUAGACAAGACCGAUACACAUCUCCGAUCAAUAACCAAUAGCGGAACCUAGAUGCUCAUAUUGGUUCCUACAUAUUCUACGAAGAUCUUUAUCGGUCAAACCGCACAACAACAUACGUUGUUCCCUUUGUCAUCAGUAUGUUACUUGCCUAAGAUUCAAUCGUCGGUAUCAUCAUACCUAGUUAAAUCUUGUCACUGGAAAGUCUCUUCACUCGUUCCAUAAUGCAUCAUCCCACAACUAACUCAUUACUCACAUUGCUUGCAAGGCCUAUAGUGAUGUGCAUUACCGAGAGGGCCUAGAGAUACCUCUCCGACAAUCGGAGUGACAAAUGCUAAUCUCGAUCUAUGCCAACUCAACAAACACCAUCGGAGACACCUGUAGAGUAUCUUUAUAAGCACACAGUUAUGUUGUGACGCUUGAUAGCACACUAAGUGUUCCUUCGGUAUUCGGGAGUUGCAUAAUCUCAUAGUCAUAGGAACAUGUAUAAGUCAUGAAGAAAGCAAUAGCAAUAAACUAAACGAUCAUAGUGCUAAGCUAACAAAUGGGUCUAGACCAUCACAUCAUUCUCUAAUGAUGUGAUCCCAUUCAUCAAAUGACAACACAUGUCCAUGGCUAGGAAACUUAACCAUCUUUGAUUAACGAGCUAGUCAAGUAGAGGCAUACUAGGGACACUCUGUUUGUCUAUGUAUUCACACAUGUACUAAGUUUCCGGUUAAUACAAUUCUAGCAUGAAUAAUAAACUUUUAUCAUGAUAUAAGGAAAUAUAAAUAACAACUUUAUUAUUGCCUCUAGUGCAUAUUUCCUUCAAUCUCCCACUUGCACUAGAGUCAAUAGUCUAGAUUACACAGUAAUGAUUCUAACACCCAUGGAGAAUUCGUGCUGAUCAUGUUUUGCUCAUCAGAGAGGCUUAUUCAACGGGUCUGCGACAUCCAAAUCUGUAUGUAUCUUGCGAAUCUGUAUGUCUCCCUCCUUGACUUGAUCGCGGAUGGAAUUGAAGCGUCUUUUGAUGUGCUUGGUUCUCUUGUGAAAUCUGGAUUCCUUUGCCAAUGCAAUUGCACCAGUAUUGUCACAAAAGAUUUUCAUUGGACCCGAUGCACUAGGUAUUACACCUAGAUCGGGUAUGAACUACUUCAUCCAGACUCCUUCAUUUGCUGCUUCCGAAGCAGCUAUGUAUUCCCCUUCACAUGUAGAUCCCGCCCGAGCGCUCUGCUUAGAACUGCACCAACUGACAGCUCCACCAUUCAAUAAAAAUACGUAUCUAGUUUGUGACUUAGAGUCAUCCGGAUCAGUGUCAAAGUUUGCAUCGACAUAACCGUUUACAACGAGCUCUUUGUCAAAUGUAUCCUUAGUCCUUUUCAGGUAUUUCAGGAUGUUCUUGACCGCUGUCCAGUGAUCCACUCCUGGAUUACUUUGGUACCUCCCUGCUAAACUAAUAGCAAGGCACACAUCAGGUCUGGUACACAGCAUUGCAUACAUGAUAGAACCUAUGGUUGAGGCAUAGGGAAUGACUUUCAUUUUCUCUCUAUCUUCUGCAGUGGUCGGGCAUUGAGUCUGACUCAACUUCACACCUUGUAACACAGGCAAGAACCCUUUCUUUGCUUGAUCCAUUUUGAACUUCUUCAAAACUUUAUCAAGGUAUGUGCUUUGUGAAAGUCCAAUUAAGCGUCUUGAUCUAUCUCUAUAGAUCUUGAUGCCCAAUAUAUAAGCAGCUUCACCGAGGUCUUUCAUUGAAAAAUUCUUAUUCAAGUAUCCUUUUAUGCUAUUUAGAAAUUCAGUAUCAUUUCCGAUCAACAAUAUGUCAUCCACAUAUAAUAUCAGAAAUGCUAUAGAGCUCCCACUCACUUUUUUGUAAAUACAGGCUUCUCCAAAAGUCUAUAUAAAACCAUAUGCUUUGAUCACACUAUCAAAGCAUAUAUUCCAACUCCGAGAUGCUUGCACCAGUCCAUAAAUGGAUCGCUGGAGCUUGCACACUUUGUUAGCACCUUUUGGAUCGACAAAACCUUCUGGUUGCAUCAUAUACAACUCUUCUUUAAGAUAUCCAUUAAGGAAUGCAGUUUUGACAUCCAUUUGCCAAAUUUCAUAAUCAUAAAAUGCGGCAAUUGCUAACAUGAUUUGUAUGGACUUAAGCAUCGCUACGGGUGCGAAGGUCUCAUCGUAGUCAACUCCUUAAACUUGCCGAAAACCUUUCACAACAAGUUGAACUUUGUAGACAGUAACAUUACUGUCAGCGUUAGUCCUCUUCUUGAAGAUCCAUUUAUUCUCUAUGGCUUUCCCAUAAUCGAGCAAGUCAACCAAAGUCCAAACUUUGUUCUCAUACAUGGAUCCCAUCUCAGAUUUCAUGGCCUCAAGCCAUUUUGCGGAAUCUGGGCUCAUCAUUGCUUCCUCAUAGUUCGUAGGUUUGUCAUGGUCAAGUAACAUGACCUCCAGAACAGGAUUACCGUACAACUCUGGUGUGGAUCUUACUCUGGUUGAUCUACGAGGUUUGGUAGUAACUAGAUCAGAAGUUUCAGGAUCAUCAUCAUUAGCUUCCUCACUAAUUGGUGUAGGAAUCACUGGAACUAAUUUCUAUGAUGAACUACUUUCCAAUAUGGGAGAAGGUACAAUUACCUCAUCAAGUUCUACUUUCCUCCCACUCACUUCUUUCGAGAGAAAAUCCUUCUCUAGAAAUGAUCCAUUCUUAUCAAUGAAUGUCUCGCCUUUGGAUCUGUGAUAGAAGGUGUACCCAACAAUCUCCUUUGGGUAUCCUAUGAAGACACAUUUCUCUGAUUUGGGUUCGAGCUUAUCAGGUUGAAGCUUUUUCACAUAAGCAUCGCAGCACCAAACUUUAAGAAACGACAACUUGGGUUUCUUGCCAAACCACAGUUCAUAUGGUGUCGUCUCAACAGAUUUUGAUGGUGCCCUAUUUAACAUGCAUGCAGCCGUCUCUAAAGCAUAACCCCAAAAUGAUAGCAGUAAAUCAGUAAGAGACAUCUUAGAUCGCACCAUAUCUAAGAAAGUGUGGUUACAACAUUGGGAUACACCGUUACGCUGUGGUGUUCCAGGUGGCGUGAGUUGCGAAACUAUUCCACAUUGUUUCAAAUGAAGACCAAACUCAUAACUCAAAUAUUCACCUCCACGAUCAAAUCUAGAAACUUAAUUUUCUUGUUACAAUGAUUUUCCACUUCACUCUAAAAUUCUUUGAGCUUUUCAAAUGUUUCAGACUUAUGUUCCAUCAAGUAGACAUACCCAUAUCUGCUCAAAUCAUCUGUGAAGGUCAGAAAAUAAUGAUACUCGCCAUGAGCAUCAACACUCAUCAGACCGCAUACAUCAGUAUGUAUUAUUUCCAAUAAGUCUGUUACUCGUUCCAUUGUUCCGGAGAAUGAAGUCUUAGUCAUCUUGCCCAUGAGGCAUGGUUCGCAAGCAUCAAGUGAUUCCAAAAGUCCAUCAACAUGGAGUUUCUUCAUGCGUUUUACACCAAUAUGACCCAAACCGCAGUGCCACAAAUAAGUUGCACUAUCAUUAUUAAACAUAUAUCUUUUGGCUUCAAUACUACGAAUAUGUGUAUCACUACUAUCAAGAUUUAGUAAAAAUAGACCACUCAUCAAGGGUGCAUGACCAUAAAAUAUAUAACUCAUAUAAAUAGAACAACCAUUAUUCUCUGAUUUAAAUGAAUAACCAUCUUGCAUCAAACAAGAUCCAGAUAUAAUGUUCAUGCUUAAUGCUGGCACCAAAUAACAAUUAUUCAGGUCCAAAACUAAUCCCGAAGGUAGAUGUAGAGGUAGCGUGCCGAAGGCGAUCACAUCGACUUUGGAACCAUUUCCCACGCGCAUCGUCACCUCGUCCUUAGCCAAUCUUUGCUUAAUUCAUAGCCCCUGUUUGGAGUUGCAAAUAUGAGCAACAGAACCAGUAUCAAAUACCCAGGCGCUACUGCGAGCAUUAGUAAGGUACACAUCAAUAACAUGUAUAUCAAAUAUACCUUUCACUUUGCCAUCCUUCUUAUCCGCCAAUUACUUGGGGCAGUUCCGCUUCCAGUGACCAGUCCCUUUGCAGUAGAAGUACUCAGUCUCAGGCUUAGGUCCAGACUUGGGCUUGUUCACUUGAGCAACAACUUGCUUGCCAUUCUUCUUGAAGUUCCCCUUCUUCCCUUUGCCCUUUUUCUUGAAACUAGUGGUCUUGUUAACCAUCAACACUUGAUGCUCCUUCUUGAUUUCUACCUCCACAACUUUUAGCAUCGCGAAGUGCUCAGGAAUUGUCUUAUACAUUCCUUGCAUAUUAUAGUUCAUCAUGAAGCUUUUGUAGCUUGGUGGCCGUGAUUGAAGAACUCUGUCAAUGACACUAUCAUCACAAAGAUUAACUCCCAGUUGAGUCAAGAGGUUGUGGUACCCAGACAUUCUGAGUAUAUGUUCACUGACAGAACUAUUCUCCUCCAUCUUGCAGCUAUAGAACUUAUUGGAGACUUCAUAUCUCUCAAUUCGGGCAUUUGCUUGAAAUAGUAACUUCAACUCUUUGAACAUCUCAUAUGCUCCAUGACGUUCAAAACGUCGUUGAAGUCCUGAUUCUAAGCUGUAAAGCAUGACACACUGAACUAUUGAGUAGUCAUCAGCUUUGCUCUGCCAGAUGUUCAUAACAUCUGGUGUUGCUCUUGUAGCGGGCUUUGCACCUAGCGGUGCUUCCAGGACGUAAUUCUUCUGUGCAGCAGUGAGGAUAAUCCUCAAGUUACGGACCCAGUCCGUGUAGUUUCUACCAUCAUCUUUCAACUCAGCUUUCUCUAGGAAUGCAUUAAAAUUCAAUGGAACAAUAGCACGAGCCAUUUAUCUACAACAACAUAGACAUGCAAAAUACUAUCAGGUACUAAGUUCAUGAUAAAUUAAAGUUCAAUUAAUCAUAUUACUUAAGAACUCCCACUUAGGUAGACAUCCAUCUAGUCAUCUAAAUGAUCACAUUAUCCAUAUCAACUAAACCAUGUCCGAUCAUCACGUGAGAUGGAGAAGUUUUCAAUGGUGAACAUCACUAUUUUGAUCAUAUCUACUAUAUGAUUCACGCUCGACCUUUCGGUCUCAGUGUUCCGAGGCCAUAUCUGCAUAUUCUAGGCUUGUCAAGUUUAACCUGAGUAUUCUGCUUGUGCAAAACUGGCUUGCACCCAUUGUAUGUGAACGUAGAGCUUAUCACACCUGAUCAUCACGUGGUGUCUUGGCACGACGAACUGUAGAAACGGUGCAUACUCAAGGAGAACACUUAUACCUUGAAAUUUAGUGAGAGAUUAUCUUAUAAUGCUACUGCCGUACUAAGCAAAAUAAGAUGCAUAAAAGAUAAACAUCACAUGCAAUUAAUAUAAGUGAUAUGAUAUGGCCAUCAUCAUCUUGUGCCUUUGAUCUCCAUCUCCAAAGCACCGUCAUGAUCACCAUCGUCACCGGCUUGAUACCUUGAUCUCCAUCAUAGCAUCGUUGUCAUCUCGCCAACUAUUGCUUUCACGACCAUCGCUACCGCUUAGUGAUAAAGUAAAGCAAUUACAUGGCGAUUGCAUUUCAUACAAUAAAGCGACAACCAUAUGGCUCCUGCCGGUUGCCGAUAACUUUUGUCGGAGUAAAUAGCCAUGGGUAGCCUAGCCGGCCUCCCCUGGCAGUUCUAAAAAAGUUACGAGCCCGCCCGGCUCUCAAGAAUCCAAGACAUGGGUCCGCCUUCCCCUAGCUGGCUGCAGCCCAGGCCGGCUUUCGGAAGGCGGUCCAACUUUAGCCCUCCUGAGAAGGCCGACUCCAAGAAGCCGGCCAUGAGAAGGCCGACUCCAAGAAGCCGGCUCCCCAUAAAGCGGUCAAGACCGUACCCCCAAAGUUUGCACCCACCUAGCGGCGGUGCGACGGGGCGUGGCUACAGUAAAGCCUGCCACCCCCGAAUCCCGGAGCACGCCUGGCACAGUGCACCGUACGGGGUAGGCGUGACCCGUCCGGCACAUCACUGUUGCCAUGCUGACUCUGGCAUCACCCACGACGGGCCGCCAGCAUGGCCCAUCGAUGGUGGGCCCCUUCGAGCAGGGAGACGCCCGAAGGCGGCCACGCCUCCAACUAGUCGGCCCAAGACGGAGCCGGCUCCCCGCAGCCGGCUUGCCGCCUCCCUCGAGGAAGACGCCCCAUUAAGGAGACAAGACGCGGUAAGGCUACAGCGAUCGCCCGACGGGCGGCGGUACUGUAGACGCGCUUACCACGAUGAAGCUCACGUCAACAAGAUAAAGCCACAGUGACCAGCCGCCGACCAGGCCCUAGGCAGUGGGGCCUGCCUGUCGACCAAGGAGCUGGCAGCCGGCGGGACCCACCAGUCGGCGGGCCCCAGCAGCCGGCGCAGAAGCCGGCGAGCGCAGUCACAGACGGCUGGGCCCCGCGCCCAGCCGGAUUACCAUUGUACCCCCGGGGGUUAGGCCUAUAUAAACCCCCUGGAGCACCCAUGCAAAGUGUUGGACCCCCUGCUAGUUCUAGACACCACGCAAGGAGAAGAAGCAGGCUAGCCGUGCCCUUUCUUCCUCCUCCCCCCAAAAACAGCUCAAGGAGCAUUGUGCAGCUACUUGAUUCAUCGAGUGAGCAUGCGGAGACCCCGCAGAGCAGCAGUAGGGGUGUUAUCUCCUCGGAGAGCCCCGAAGCUGGGUAAGAUCUGCCGGCGUGCAUGUCUUCGCCUCAUCCCGCUUCCAGGCACCGACGAUGUCUUACUGGUUCCCACAAAGAUAAGCCACCCGUUGGCAUAUGUCGCGCCCACCACCCGACAUUUGGCGCCCACCGUGGGGCCAGGCGCACCGUCGUCCGGAGACCUGUUCUGGACGGGAACCCUCUUCCUCCCCAGCGAGCGUAGCCAGCCCGGCACGCCCGAUGGCGCUUGCCACGACGCGCUGCAAGGCGUCACCAGCAUCUGCGCGGCAAGCGGCCUCGCCGAUCUCCCCGACGAGACCUUCAUCUCCGAUGAGCUCACCUCCGAUGCGGGCACUGACCGCCUCGCCAACCUUCUCGGCCAGCUCCAUGUCUCCAGCGAGCCCGCUGCGGACCUAGAGUCGGUUGGCUCCAUCGACCCGAUGCCUGUCGACUCCGACGCGGCCUCCUACGACACCUUCCUCACCAACGUCGCGAUCUACAACGACCCGCUUCCUCGAGCCGACGGCUACGAUGCUGUCACCGCCGAAGUGAUGGUUGUCGGCCACGGCGGCCUGGCCGACGAGAGCGCCCACGACGCCUCGCGCACGGCGGCCCACGACUUGUCCGCUCCUCUCCCGGCCGACGCCGACGACGAAGCACUGGAAGCACGCCGCCUCGCCCUCCUCGCAGAGGGCCGGAGGCUGGCCUCCGUAAGACGCCUCACUGAGGCCUACCAGCGCGAAGCUGACCGCGCCGCCUUCGGCACGCCGGCCCCGGGCGGGCCAAGCCGGGCCGGCCUUGUCAAGCAACGCGGGGCCGUCAUCACCGACACUCUGGGAGUCGACCGCCCGGUCUAUGCCACUCCGCUCGAGAACUUGCGUGCCGCUCAGGCGGCUGUAGACGAGUUGGACGGCUUGGAGGCCGAAGACCUUCCCCACAUGACCCGGCGCAUCUAGCAAUUGAUUGACGCUGCCACGCAGCGGCACGAAGCCGACGCUCGCACGGAAAGCCUUCCCCCGCGCCGAGAACACGGCGCGACGUCCUGGACGCCGACUACGAGCAAUACCCGCGUGCGACGCGAGAAGGGGCCGGCUACCAGCCGCAGCCGGACCCGGAUCUCCAUCGAGCGGGACGCGGACGGUCAUCCCCGAGCCAUGGAAUGGCGGGGCGACCCGCCUCCGCCUCCGCCCCAUGGAGAGAGAUAUCCCGCCUCGCCGCCAGUGGCGCACCCGACUCUCAGCGGCCGGCUAGGCCGCCGUGAAGGAAUCAGCGAGAACGAUGCCCGCCAUCGGAUCGACCGCCUGGCGCGAUCCCUGGCAUUGGAAGAAGAAGACGAUGUCGGCCCGCCUUGUUUCAGCCCCCGCAUCCGCGACGAGCCCUUUCCCAAAGGGUUCUCGCUCCCAAGAGACACGCCCAAGUACAACGGUUCCGUGAAGCCGGAAGAUUGGUUGAUCGACUACUUCACCGCAGUUAGCAUAGCCAACGGCAACCGGCGCGUCGCCGUGAAGUACGUGCCCCUCAUGCUGCAGGGCACGGCGCGGACCUGGCUCAACAGCCUCAAGCCGCGUAGCAUCAACAGCUGGCUAGACUUCACAGAAGCCUUCAUCCGCAACUUCACUAGCACCUAUAAGCGGGCUCCCAAGCCCAGAUAGCUCUCCUUGUGCGUACAAGGCCCCGCCGAGUCCACUCGCGAUUACCUCACGUGUUGGGCCGAGCUCCGCAACUCCUGUGAAGGGGUGCACGAGGUACAAGCCAUAGAAUACUUCACAGCCGGAUGCCGAGAAGGCACCCUCCUCAAGCACAAGCUCCUCUACGACGAGCCGGCUACCCUCGACGAGCUUCUGGACAUAGCGGACAAGUACGCCACCGCCGACUCCUCGAUGAAGACCGAGCUUCGGGUAGACGCGUCCGGAAAGGUACUCAACCCGGCGCCCAAGACACCGGCUGGGGAUUCCGGCCGACACCCCAACUCAAAUGACAACAAGCGCAAGGGCCCCGCGCCGCCUCCCGCCAGCCGGCAGGUGGCCACAGUCGAAGAUGCACUGCCUGAAGAAUAACCGGCACCCAAGAAGCCCAAGGGCGGCAGGCCGGCUUGGCAGCCCGCCUUCUCCUACGAACAAACCCUCGAUGCCCCUUGCAAGUUCCACAGCGGCGCGAAGCCGUCCAACCACAUGACCCGGAAGUGCAACUGGCUCACCCGAAUCUCUAAGGGCGAGGGGCUCUUGCCACCUCCGCCUGCCGGCCCGCCGCCUCUGCCUCCGCCUCCGACGCCUCCGGCCGCUCAGUCCACAGUCGGAGCCGUGCAUGACGAGUUCCCUGAUGAGCAAGCAACCUACAUCGUCUUUACAAGCCAGCCCGAAGACCGGCACAGCAAACGCCAAGAGCGCCAGGAAGUUGGCGUGGUCGCUGCCAACCCUGCUGGACACAUGCAUUGGUCAGAAAAGCCCAUCAGCUGGAGCCGGGCCGACCAUCCGGAGGUGAUGCCGUCUCCCGGCUCUUAUGCUUUGGUCCUGGAAGCCACCCUUGCAACGGAUAGACGCGCCGCCCGCUUCUCCUGUGUGUUGAUGGACGGCGGGAGCAGCAUCAACAUCCUGUAUCGUGACACCCUGGAGAAGUUGAACGUCAAGACAAAACAGCUCACGCCCACUCGGACAGUUUUCCACGGCAUCGUACCCGGCCUGUCCUGCGCCCCCAUUGGCAAAAUCAAGAUUGAUGUACUUUUUGGGGACAAGGAGCAUUUCCGCCGGGAAGCGAUCUGGUUUGAAGUGGUGGACCUGGAGAGCCCUUACCAUGCAUUACUGGGCCGACCUGCCUUGGCCAAGUUCAUGGCGGUUCCUCACUAUGCAUACCUCAAGAUGAAGAUACCAAGCACCAAAGGCGUCAUCACCGUAGCCGGUGACUACAAGAAGUCCUCCAAGUGCGCAGCGGCCAGCAGCCGGCUGGCCGAGUCCCUUGUGAUUGCCGAAGAGAAGAAGAUGCUGGACCGAGUCGUGGCCAUAGCCGGCAAGCAGUCGGCCGUGUCCCCCGACCCCAAGGAGCAUGAUGCUCAAGGAUCUUUCCAGCCGGCCAAGGAGACGAAGAAGAUACCUCUUGACCCCGAGCAUCCAGAGAGGUUUGCCGUCAUCGGGGCAAACCUGAACAGCAAAUAGGAAGGCGAGCUCGCCGAUUUUCUUCGUGAGAAUCGGGACAUCUUCGCAUGGUCCCCCAAGGACAUGCCGGGUGUUCCGAGGAAAUUCACUGAGCACAAACUACAUGUUCGAGAAGACGCAAAGCCAGUCAGACAACCCCUUCACCGACUGUCGGAGGAGAAACGCAGGAUUGUAGGGGAGGAGAUAGCCCGGCUCUUGACGGCCGGCUUUAUCAUGGAAGUUUUCUUUCCAGAGUGGCUCGCCAACCCGGUCCUUGUGCUAAAUAAGAACAACAAGUGGCACAUGUGUAUAGACUACACGAGCCUCAACAAGGCCUGCCCCAAAGAUCCUUUUGCCCUGCCAAGGAUUGACCAAGUGAUAGACUCCACAGCCGGAUGCGAGCUAUUGAGUUUUUUGGAUGCUUACUCCGGAUAUCAUCAGAUAAAGCUAGACCCGGACGACCGCCUAAAGACCGCCUUCAUCACGCCAUUUGGAGCCUUCUGCUACCUGACUAUGACAUUCGGCUUGAGAAAUGCCGGUGCCACCUUUCAGCGUUGCAUGCAGAAGUGCCUCCUCAAGCAACUCGGCAGAAACGCUCACGUAUACGUGGACGACAUCAUGGUGAAGACGGAGAAGCGCGACACCUUGCUGGAAGACCUCAAGGAAACGUUUGAGGACUUACGCCGGUUCCAGAUCAAGAUCAACCCCGAGAAAUGCGUGUUCGGAGUGCCAGCCGGCCAGCUCCUAGGCUUCCUGGUCUCCGAACGCGGCAUUGAAUGCAACCCGGUGAAGAUCAAGGCCAUCGAGAGAAUGGCGAUCCCCACCAAGCUUCGAGACAUUCAGAAGUUCAUCGGGUGCUUAGCCUCCUUGAACCGCUUCAUCAGCCGGCUCGGAGAGAAAGCUCUUCCUCUCUACCGCCUCAUGAAGAAGAGCACUCACUUCGAGUGGAACGACCAGGCCGACCAAGCUUUUCACGAGCUGAAGAAGACGCUGGCCACGCCGCCUGUCCUCGCGGCGCCGACUGAGAAAGAACCCAUGCUCCUCUACAUCACUGCAACCAGCCGGGUGGUCAGCACCGUCAUCAUAGUCCAGCGCCCAGAAGAAGGCUGAGCCCAGCCGGUCCAGAGGCCGGUGUAUUAUUUGAGCGAGGUGCUGUCCGCUUCAAAGCAGAACUACCCGCACUACCAAAAGAUGUGUUAUGGCGUGUACUUCACCGCCAAGAAGCUGAAGCCCUACUUUCAAGAGCAUCCCGUCACGGUCGUAUGCACUGCCCCGCUAGCCGAGAUCAUAGGCAGCCGGGAUGCAUCCGGCCGGGUGGUGAAAUGGGCCAUCGAGCUGGCCCCCUACACGAUCUUCUACCAGCCCCGCACUGCCAUCAAGUCCCAAGCACUGGCCGACUUCCUCGUCGACUGGGCCGAGACCCAGUACCUGCCACCGGCUCCCGACUCCACCCAUUGGCGCAUGCACUUCGACGGGUCCAAGAUGCGCACCGGCUUGGGAGCCGGCAUCGUCCUUACUUCUCCCAAAGGCGACAAGCUCAGAUACACGCUACAGAUCCACUUUCCGCCUCCAACAAUGUGGCCGAGUACGAGGCGCUCAUACAUGGGCUCCGGCUUGCCAAAGAACUUGGCAUUCGCCGGAUCCUAUGUUAUGGCGACUCGGACCUGGUGGUCCAGCAAUCAUCCGGCGACUGGGACGCCAAGGACACGAAUAUGGCGAGCUACCAUUUCCUGGUCCAACAACUCAGCGGAUACUUUGAAGGAUGCAAGUUCCUCCACGUACCACGAGCCGACAACGAGCAAGCCGAUGCCCUGGCUCGAAUAGGCUCCACCCGGCAAGCAAUUCUAGCCGGCUUCGCUCUCCAACGCCUCCUCAAGCCGUCUAUCAAGCCGUCUCCAGAGUCCGAUUCCAUCUUCGUGCCGCCUGACCCCGAUGCGGCCGGGUCCGGCUCGAAGAACCAAGUAAGCGACCCCAAGACCCCCGUAGCCGGCUCGGCGACUUCGGCAGCCGGCUCGGGGACUUCGGCGGCCGGCUCGGGGACUUCGGCAGCCGGCUCGGGGACUUCGGCAACCGGCUCGGAGACUGCCACAACCGGCUCGGGGACUGCGGCAGCCGGCCCGGGAACUACACCAACACUACAGCCGGCGGCCGACUCCAGCACCUCACCGCCCAGCCCGCCCACCCUGGUGGCAGUAGCCACUUUGGCAGUAGAAGAAGUCGCGGCUCCCUCAUGGGCUCAGUCCAUCCUCAACUUCGUAGUAAACCAAGACCUGCCGGCUGACGAAACAGAAGCAAGACAAGUCCAGCGUCGAGCCGGAGCGUACACAAUCGUCAAUAGAGAACUACUCAAGCGCAGCAUCACUGGAAUCCUCCAACGGUGCGUCGAGCAAGAGAAGGGCAUUGAAAUCCUCACAGACAUUCACCAAGGAGAAUGCGGCCACCAUGCAGCCUCAAGAUCACUUGUUGCCAAAGCCUUCCACCAUGGUUUCUUCUGGCCGACUGCUUUGGAUGAUGUCAAAGAAUUAGUAAAGCAUUGCAAGGGAUGCCAGCUCUUCAGCUCCAAGCAACACAUGCCGGCUUCGGCACUCAAGACCAUUCCCCUCACUUGGCCCUUUGCCGUUUGGGGACUGGACAUGGUGGGCCCAUUCAAGACGGCGCGCGGCGGCAUGACGCAUUUGCUCGUCGCCGUGGACAAAUUCACCAAGUGGGUUGAGGCAAAGCCGAUCAAGAAGCUGAAUGGGCCGACUGCCGUGACGUUCAUCGUGGACAUAACAACUCGGUACGGCGUGCUGCACAGCAUCAUCACCGACAAUGGCACGAAUUUCGCCAAAGGAGCCUUGGCACGUUUUUGCGCAGCCCAAGGUAUCCGGCUGGACUUAGCAUCCGUCGCCCACCCGCAGUCAAACGGCCAGGUCGAGCGAGCCAACGGCCUCAUCCUCUCAGGCAUCAAGCCCCGACUGGUUGUACCUCUGGAGCGCUCAGCCGGCUGUUGGCUCGAUGAGCUGCCGGCUGUCCUCUGGAGUCUGCGCACUACACCAAACAAGUCAACCGGCUUCACCCCUUUCUUCCUUGUGUACGGUGCCGAGGCGGUCAUCCCAACUGACAUCGAAUUCGACUCGCCUCGAGUAACCAUGUACACGGAAGCGGAGGCCAAGGAAGCACGAGAAGACGGCGUCGACCUGCUGGAAGAAAGCCGGCUGUUAGCCCUCAGCCGGUCUGCAAUUUACCAACAGGGUUUGUGCCGCUACCACAGCCGGAAGGUCAGGCCAAGAUCUUUCCAAGAGGGCGACCUUGUGCUCCGGCUGAUCCAGCGAACAGCCGGCCAGCACAAGCUCUCAACCCCUUGGGAAGGCCCUUUCGUCAUCAGCAGAGCUCUAGGCAACGACUCCUACUACCUGAUCGACGCACAGAAGCCGAAGGCACGCAAGAGAGACGACUCCGGCAAGGAGUCGGAACGGCCAUGGAACGCCAACCUCCUUCGAAGAUUUUACAGUUGAAAGGCAGUAUGUAUCACGCUAACCCUUGUAUUAAGUACAAGACAAUAGGCUCCCCGAGGAGGGCUCGGGGACUGCCAUCCCUUAUUUAUGAAUGAAAAGUAUCAUGCUUAUGACCUUGUCGUAUCAUUUACUUAUUCCGUCCGGCACCGAGUUCGACUAGUCGGCUCGGGGACUGGCCGACCGAAGUUAUGUUAGAAGUCCUACCCGCAGUCAGACAAGUAGUGUGCCGGCUCUCAAGCCUUCUCUUGCCAAAGUCGCAGUUUGAAGAAUCGGUUGUCCGGCUGGCAAGAGUUAAAGGUAGGAACGACCGCCCACACGAAAAACGGCUAGGGAUUAACGGACUAAUAUAACAAAAGCCGGUUUUUCUCACACCGCCGACUGGCUACCAGAGUAGCCGGCCGGCCGGUUUCCAUUCACUUUACUUUAAUCCAAGAAAGCUCAAGUACUUGUCUCCCCAAAGAGGGAAGGCGGCAAAGGAAAAAUCCUAAGGAUAAACAAGCAUACGCGAAUGGAAACCAAACAUGCACAUGAUAAUAUUUACAUAAAAAGACCUCCAAGAGGCCAGCAUUCAACAUAGUUUGGAUACACCCCCAGUGGGUGGAACUGCGAAAACUUAACAAAAGAUUGUUCAAAGACAACAAAGCAGGAAAGAUAAAGACGGCAGGUCAAGCUGGCGGAGCGGCCGACAAGCCAGACCGGUUGGCGAAGACGGUCGUGCCGGCUGAAGGAGCGGCCGGCUGACGAACUUUGGCUUGGUCGCCGCCUCCCGCAGAGGGCGCGCUUCCACGCGCCUUGUUGCUAGAGGCACGGUCGGCCUGAGAUCGGCUGGUUGUUCCACCAGCCAGCUCGACAUCUCCACUGUCCCCAUCUUCUUCGCCCUCGUCGCUGGAGGCAAUCUCCUCCGCCGAGUCCUCGCCCACCGCCGGGUUCAGCCCGAACCACUCCUCCGGCUGAGCGACACCGUCAUCAUCGAUUUCGGGUGUGAAAACGCUGAUGUCGGUGCACUCGGUGAUCGUCAAAGCCUGCUGGGCGAUAGCCGGCCUCACCUCCUCCAGCUCCGCGUCGGCCUCCAUCCGCCAAGUGCACAGCUGGUCCAGGCUCAGCCCUGGGUACCAUGCCCGAACGAAUUCCAACGCCCGCCCGGCUCCGAGGCGGGCCGCUGACACUUUCCAAGCCUCGGAGCGACCAACUACGACCUCCAGCCAGUCGGCAGUUCGGCUUGGAGUGCGGGGGAUCGUCUCGCCGGGCCAGAGGGCGGCCAGCACUUGCGCCCCGGCACGUUGGAGCCGGCAAAGCAUCCGAUGAGCCGGCUGCAACCGUGCCUGGACAGCCAGGAGCUGCUCCUCAAGGGUCCGGUUUGCAUCCGGCGCGAUGUCGGCCCCCGCUUGCCGGCGCGCCUCGCGAUGGGCCUUAAUGCUUUGGGUGGCAAAGGCGGAGUAGCCCGGGAAGUAAUCUGCAAGAAACAACAAGCAACAGCUCAAGAUAAGUCAAAAGACCCAGGCGGCAAGGGGCAGGAGAAGGGCCGAGGAAGGCAACUUACCGUCGAUCAAGUCCUCGAUCCGGCCGAAGCCUUCAUCCAGGGCUCGCCGGGUCUCAGACCAGCUCGCCGCCUCCAUCUCAUACUCUGCCAACAAGGUGGCUUCACUUUCCCGCGCCGCCUGCAGGGCCGCCUUGUGGCUUUCCUCUUGGUCGGCCAGCUUCUUGGCCAGGCGAUCCCGUUCCGGGACCAAGGCAGCGCACUCGGCCUCUUUGGUGUAAAGGGCAGCCUUCGCUUCGCCAAGCUCCUUCCUCAAGUCGGCGUUGGCCCCUGAAGACAAAGAAAAAGAAAAAAAAAUC